UUUGAUCUCAUUUGACCCUUUGUAAACCUAAUUGGUAGGUAACGAAACACGUUAGCGAAGUCGGUUCGGCAAUCCGAUGAGCCGUUGCAAAGUUAUUAAAGAAACGGACGUUUAGGCUUCGUUGUCGCCUGUAAGACCGAGGCGACAUCGUAAAAUCAUGGAAAUGGAUUUGAGGCACCGUGGCACAUAACCGAAGACCUAUAAUUUCCGGGGCUGUGAAGCGGAGCUCGGUUGUGGCGCAGUUGCAAUAUUGGGCCGUGCCGGAUACGGGUGCCGCGGGAGGCCGAUUACAAGUGUCGACAAGCAAUCGGAACGCGAGUUAAGGUGGGUUGUGUUUACCGAAGCGACUAGGUCGCCGUUAUGUCUAAGAGAAUUGUGAACUUAUGUUGAUGCAUAUAGUUGCUAAAUGAAUACAUGAUGCAUGCCAUAGAAACGUUAAUGUAAGGAAUGCUAAGUGUAUACAUGAUAAGUAUGGUGUAGAAAUGCUAAAUGUAAGCAUGUGGUUAAUGCUAAGUAAAUGAUAUAAAGUAGCAUUGCAUGUUAGUCUAAAGUAGAAACUAUGCUAAUGAUAAUGCAUAAUGAUGAGGUAAGAAUGCUAAAGUAAAGGAUAUGUGUAGGUGGACAUAAACGCACCUAUAGAUCGAGUGGCAUCUAACAUAGUGUCAAAGAACAUAGGUUGUGAAUAAAUCUAGAGUCAUGGGAACUAGAUAGAGUGGCAUCUAACCUAGUGUUAGUAAACCUAGGUUGAACAGGAAUGAUAAUGAACCUAGUGUCAAAGAACAUAGGUUGAAUUAAUAAGUGGCAUGAACCUAGAGUCAAAGUAACCUAGGUUGUGAGAUAAAGGUAAGAACCUAGAGUCAAGUGAAUCUAGGUAGAUGAGAAUAAUGGACCUAGUGUUAAUAAACCUAGGCUAAGAGUAUGAAAGCAAUGAACCUAAAGUAUUAACUUAGGUUGAGUAAAGGCUUGGACCUAGAUAGGUCAAUUUCAUAGGGUUAAGACCAACCCUUGAGUGCUGUGAAAUGGAUUCUGGAAUCCCAGGACUUAUGGAACACCAAGAGUGGUGCGGGGUGUGUGCGACGAUUUCGCCGCCCGGGGCUAAAGAACCAUUGUCGUGGCGUGUGCGACGAUUUCACCGCCGGAUGGUUGAGCCAGUUUGUGGAUCAUGCCGCAGGGUGACUUAAGCCAGAGCUGAGCGUGUGCGACGAUUUCGCCGCCGGGUGGCUGAGUCAUCGAGUGCGAUGGGCUGUUGAGCAGCCAGUGUGCGGACUAUCCGCAGAGGAUUGACUCAAGACCGAGUCGAGUGGCAUAGAUGGCUAAGGUAUGAGCAACCUUAGGAAAGAAUCGCCAAUGAGCGUUAUGUGACCAAGUAAAGACUAGAGAAAAGCUAAUGAUAAAGAAUAACUAAUAAAGUAAAGAACGGCUACAAGUAAAGAAUGGUUAAUAAUAUGAAGUAGAAUCAAUUAAUCUACUUGCAUAAAGUUACAGGUAUUGCAUAUUGCAUUUUGCGAGGCAUGACAUUUAGUUCAAUAUCGAAUAUAUAUAUCUGUUAUAUGUUAUUGGACUAACUUGUUGCAGUGCCUCCUUGGACCUAUUGGUCGAGCUUUUCCCUUGGGUGGCCGUACCCACUGGGAACCAUGGAGUUGGUUCUCACCCCACGUUGUUUUGGGGUUUUACAGGUUUGCACGUGAGUGGCGCGGCGGCGCGAGGCAAGGGCGUAGCUCCGUAGAUAGCGCCCUACCCAGAGACCAGAGAUAGUGGUACCCCGAGUCGGCAUAGCCUAGGGGUAGAGGGAAAUGAAAGAAUAAGAUGUAUCAAGUGUGUAAUAAAUUGUAAUAACUCAGAUUGUAUGUUGGAGAGAAAGUGUAAUUGUGAUGUAAGCAAAUGUAUCAAUGUGAAUGCUUGUAAUAACAUAGGAUGUGUUUAUGUUGUUGAUACCUUUCCAUAUGCAAUCUGUAUGUUGAUUUCUGUUCCUGGUUGGAACAUCGUGAAUUGUAUCGAUCGCGACGCCUAGGACGUACAGGGGAAACUCCGUUCGGCGGUCUGUCGACGUGCCCGAAUCCGACCAAAUAGGCGGGUGUCGGGGCGUGACAUAUAGGGUCUAAGUCUUUAUCAUAAAGUUUUCAUUAUAUAAUCAUCAUGCAUGCUAGAUCAUGAACCAACCAAGCAAGAUACAUUAAGCUACUAGCACGCAAUUAUAAGCAACAAUCCAUCUCUAGCCCUAUAUGAAUAUGCACAAUAUGCAAUUAGAUCAACUUAUAAAACUUAGACAUAGAAGGUAGCCCGAUUGCUUCGGGAUGGUCACCACCCACCUUGUGGUAGUACCGUAGAGCUACUAAACUCGGCGUCGCGGUCCACGUGCGCCGCUUCAACACCUCGGGUCAAAACGAACCCUAGAGCACUCAAAUCGGCGAUAUCUCCGCACUCACUCGACGGAUCGACGAACCAUCUUCGCCUACGCGUUUGGGAGCAUAGAAAUUAGGUUUCUAACCUAUCAAAAGAGAUCAAUCCCUCAUAUUUUCAAAAAUCCCAAAAUCAAGCCCUAGGUUUAGCACCUAUGGGAAGCAAUGGUUGCUAGCUUCAUUGUGAGCUAAAUCCAUAUUCUCUAAGCUCAUUAGGUUCCAUUUGAACCAUCAAAACCAACAAAAACCUCCCAAAACCCUAGAUUCACAAGUUAGGGUUGAGGCUUACCUCUAGGGUUUGCUCCAAAGCAAGCCCUAGCGUGAGAAUGUGGAGGGAGAGAGCUUCACUUUCCUCUCCUUGAUCUUCUCCUUCUUUUUUCUUCUUCCUUUCUCCUUUUUUCUCUCCUUCUUUCUUCUUCUCAUUCUUUUCUUCUUCUCACGGUUAGAGAGAGAGAGCUAUGUGAGAGGGAGAGGGAGAGAGAGAGAGGCUAAGUGUGUGAGAGAGAGGCUGAGAGAGGGCUAAUAUCUCUCUAUUGUAACAAUAUCCAAAAGAGCCCCUCAACUUUUCUAUUUUCCAAAGUCACCCUGCUGUUCGGGUGCCCUUGUACCGGUACACGGGUUCUUGUACCGGUACAAGGUCUGGGUGACAGCCAAAACUGAGAGCAAACCGGAGAGCUCGGGUCUUGGUUUUGUCGGGUUUGUACCGGUACAAGCCCCUUGUACCAGUACAGCACCUGGAGCCCUCAAACCCGAGAGCUACGCAGCCUAGCUGCGAUGGCUGUACCGGUACAGCCAUCACGCUUGUACCGGUACACCAACACCAGAAUGCUGUUUUCAGCUUCGUUUCGGCUCUACUUCGCGCCGAUCGAUGUCAAGACCAUCCCAACACCUUUGGAACUCAUUUUUGCUCUUCCAAACUUGUUGGAAUGCCAAAUGGAACUUGUCCAAACCGUUCAAUCGCCCACUUUGGCCCAUUUGGCCAAAGUUAGCCAAUAUUGUCAAAUUUCGAUAUCUCACACGGGGACUGGUCCCUGGUCGGGGAGACUGGUCCCCCAUGGCAAUGCGACCGGUCCCCGGCUGGGGAGACUAGUUCCCGUACGCUGGUUUUGCGGGAUGGACCUGAGAGACCGGUCCCAAGCAAGGAGAGACCGGUCCCUCUGGGUGAAUUUUGCCCAGUCCGGGCUAAUGCAUUGGUUGGAUUGUUGGGGGGCUUAUUAGGAUAUUGUUACUUGAGAGGGCUUUUAUGGUCCUUCCACUCUCUCACUCCCUCAUUUCUCUUCCUCACACUCACUCUAGAGAGAGAAGAAGAAGGAGAGAAGAAGGAGUUGGAGGAGAGCAAGAUCUUGAGGCUUUGGAGCAUCUUCCUCUCCCUUUGCUCACCAUUGGUGGCUUAGAGCUUGGGCUAGGAGCUUGAUAGAGGAUCAAUCUUCAACCCUAGAAGAUUUGGAGCUUGUUUUGGAGCAUCUAGAGAGGUUAGUACCUUGAUUCUAGCCUUUGAUCUAUGUUUUGGUAGGUUUUACCAUAUGAAACCCUAGAAAUGAGAUUUAGGGUUUAUUUUGGAGAUUUUUGAUUUGAGGGCUUGGAGAUCCAAUUGAUUGGCUUAGAACUUUUAUUUAGGUUGGAUUUGAAGAACUCUAACUCCCAUUUGGAGCUUGAGAGAGGAUUUCUUCACUUGAGGUGAGUUUUUCCACCUUAGCCUAUGUUCCUUAUUGAUUGAACUUAGGAUUGAUCGUAAGAUUUGUUUAACCCUUGUUCCUACAUCUUUAGGGUGCUAGGGGACUAGUAGACACCUUCGUCGGAGCAAACGAAGGAGCGCUAGAGUUAUGGUGGAUUUGGCUUCAUGAAAACGGGGCAAAAUGGCCCCCAUGCUUUCUAUACUUGUCGUAACGUCAUUUUAAAUGCAAAUCUAUGCUAAAUAGAAUUUAUGUGAAUUUUAGAACACUUAAAAUGCAUAUGUUAUGUAUAAGAAAAUUUUCACUCUAUAUAGUAGAGCAUUCUGGGUAUUGUUACAUGCAUUGGAGUAGUGUUCGCACUAGCCGAUUGGAAACAUGCCUCAUAUGUUUAAAGUGGCUCAAUUAUGCAUUUAUGAACCUUAGGUUUAAGCUUGGACUUAGUAAAAGAAAGUGUCAUAAAGGGGCACUUGGACUAGCAAACUAUUAGACUAUUGUAUUGAGACUUAGAGAUAGGCCAUGGACAUCUAUUACUUUCCAUGUUUUAGACAUGAUGACAUAGAAAUAGGCCUAUGAGAGAGUUGUGACAUAUUCCAUGUUGUUAGACAUGAGGACUUGGUACUUGAAACGGAUCUUUUGUUACUUGCCGUUGUGCUCAUUCGCCCAUACUUGUGAGGGUCGCUCCGUACAAGCCGGUACUCCGGAGAUGGCCAUCGUGAUACAUAUUCGCCGUACGGGAUUCGGCGCCGGAGUGGAUUGCCGUGGGAAAGGCUCAUUUCUGGAGUGGGGAUGUUGACUACCACGGGGCCAUUAGGCUUGGCACCGGCGAGACAGCCUUCGAGCGGAUCUCUUCAGAUUUGAUUUUUAGCAUUCAUCAAGCCAUGUGGACAUUCAUUAGAAUAGUAAACAAUGACAUCUUUACUAUUUGACUUAUGGAUAUCAUACUAGCGAUGCUUGUGUACAUUGAUACGAGAAUAGCUUUUCUUAUUUAUGCUAAAUCAUGCUAAGUAGAGAUAUCAUGUGGUAGCAAAUAUUCAUUCUUAUUUACUUAUCGUACAUAUCGUAUUUGUUUACAUCUGCUUACUGACCUCUUUUUAGUUUGGGCCUAGUGGUGUAUUUCACUGAACCAGUAAUUGCCCACUGGAAACUAUUAUUUAAUAGUUCUCACGCCCCCUGUUUUAUGGUUUUAUUUCAGAGCCUUCGGCACCAGCGGAGACACGGGAUCGCGACAAGGGAGUCGCGUAGCUAGUUAGCGGGGAGCUACUUUUGAGCUUAGGUAGUUUACUCUCUUUUUUUUGGUUUUUGUAAGAGAUAGAGUUUUGAGUACCAUGUAUAGAGAGACCACCUAUGUACUUGUUUAGCUUUUGUUUUGGGAUUCCUAUUGUAUUCACUUUAUGUUUUACUUAGUGCACUUACUUUUAUGUUCUCUUCCCUUAUUGUAGCUUCUAGAUAUACUUCGCUCUGAUGCUUCUAGAUGUUCUCUUUUAUUGUCUUAUUUAUCGUUUUGUUUUAGACGCCUUGUAUGUUUUAGACAUACGGCGAGUCUGGGCACGCGCCAGGCGGGCUUCCGCUGGGUCCCGGGGCGUGACAGAUUAGUUUGGUAUCAGAGCCUAGGGUUGAGUCUUAGUGGACCUAGCAGACCUUAGGCCGGUUGGACUAUAGGAAAUAGGCUCAUGAGAGACGAGGUCUAUUUGACUUGUAAGCGAAAGUAUCGUGAUUGGGUAUUUUGAUAACUCUAGAAAGUGGAGUUAAAUUGAAGUGUAUAGCUCCUAACUUCGCGGAGGGUUACGUUGGCGGCUUUCAACGUAACAUCGGGAGUUAGUAGUGAAGCACACUUCAUUAAUUUCGCAUGAUUUGGGGUAUUAUCUUCUUGAGCGGGAAUACGAUAGCGUGGGUUACUAACUUACGCUUUUAUGAUGUUGAAGUGAGAUGCCGAUCACUCGCUCCCAAUCUGCCGGAGCGGAUAAUGCGGCACAUCUUGAGAAGGUCGAGACCUUCGCUACCUCCGGAUCCGGUGAGGUCCGAGAGUUGUGGAGCCAGCUUGCGGCUCUCACCGACUUGGAGAUACAGCAGGCGAAGUGUAACGUACCACAUCCCUCGUAAAUUAUGCCGAGUUCCGUCAAAAAGAGCGGAACGCGGAGUGGAACGAGUGGGUAUAGGCCCUAAGUGCAUUGCAGCUUAUAUAUGGAGUAAAGGGACCCGAGAGAGAGUGAUUUCAAAAUCUGGCUAAGUCCCAAAUUUUGUGCUCUCGGGGACCGGUCCCUGAAGGAGAGACCGGUCCCCGUACGCAUAGCCUGCCAGAAAAUCCUGAGGCAUCCAGUCCCUGGUGGUGAGACCGGUCCUCGGGAGACCGGUCCCUCGCUGCGCAGCAGCUGAAAAAGUCUGAAAAUCGGCUAAGUCCUGGAAAACCCCCCGUUCGGGAACCGGUCCCUGGUCGGGGAGACCGGUACCCGAAGGUGAAAAAUGCCGAGUCUGGGCAGAUCAAUGGGAAACAAGUGGAGGGGCUUAAGUGCAAUUGUUACAACACUAUAUAUGGCCCAACCCCUCUCUCCCGCAGCCAUUUCCCUCCUCUUCUCUCAAUUUCUCUUUCUUUCUUUAGACCUCCUCUAGAGCUUGGAGAAGAAGAAGAAGAACUUGGAGAAGAAGGUGGAUUUGGUGCUUUGGAGGUUCUAGGAGCUCUCCAACAAGAAGAAUCUUGGAGGAGCUUGGACUAGAGGUAAGUUUUGUAAGGUUUUCCUCUAGGGUUUGGAUUUUGGUUUAGGGAAUUGGAGCUUUGUGCUCCUUAGAGGCUUUAGAGGCUCUUUUGAGCCAUGAACAACAAGGUAUCCAUGAGAGCUCAAGGUGCUCUCAUGGUGAAUCCUUGGAAGUUAUUUUAGGAGCCCUAGGGUUGGUUCCAAAGGUCAAGAAGCCUUACUAUGAUGCUUCUUAGAUGAUCCUAAGUUAUUGUUUGCUUAGCGUUGGGAUCGAUUCAUGGAAAAACCCUAAAUGACAAUGUUAGGGCUUGAAAAUUGGGGCUUUUGCCCUAGGAUUUUUCGGGGACGAAUUGACCCCGUAGAAACCCAAUUGGGGGUGCCCUAAACACGUUGAACAACUCCGUUUAACGUUGUGAAAAUGUUAGAGUAUGGUUCAUGUACAAAGGGCCUAAUAUAGCACUAUUUUGAUUAUAGGGUGCAGAAUCGACUUUCGUAAAGUGCGGGAGCCUUCAUAUUCUACACCCACACGACCAAUAGAGGUGGGGGGUGCACGCCGGAAUUGUUGGAUUCCCUUCUAUAUCUGUUUUCUCUAUUCUUGAGCAUAUAUAUAUAUAGCCAUUCAUGCAUAGUAGGGUAGAUACAUGUGAAACUUGGUUUGAUUUUAUUUAUAUGUUUCUAACAUAGUUGAACAUAGAGAAUGAUAGAACCAAAAUGGGCAUGUGUGAUAGGACCCUCAAGUUGUGUGAAUGUGAGGUUUGGACAUGGACAAUAGAAAACAAAGGUAACAUUGACAUAGAAACAAGAUUGGCAUUGAGAGAUGAACCGUUAAACAUAGUUUAACCAAAUUAUGGCAUCAUCACGAGUAUAGCCUUGAGAGUGGCAAGAAUGAAUAGGUAGAGAGCUAUCAUCACAUCGGCAUUGUGACUAGUGGCUGUGAAUCCUCAAGUUGAGGAUUGGAUCGAUACUCACGUUACGUCUUGGCUUGAGGGAGGUCGCUCCCCCUCGAGCGGUGCGCUCUAGAGUUGGUCACCACUGGGCAUGGUAAAGUCCCCCCAGAUGACGGUCCCUAGGGAGGUUCGAGUCCCCCGCUAUUAAGGAAUUUUGGGUGGUGAGUUGUUGGGGUUAACAAGGUUAACCGGCAAGAUUGGGUAAAAGCCAAAGUCAAGUUUGUAAAUGGGCAUGCAUGCAUUUAUCUUCCACAUGAUUAUUUGUCUACUGACCAGUUUCUUGCAGGCAUUGUAUUAGUAGUAGCAUUAGAUGGUUUGCUAUCUUUUCCUUUGAAAUACAUAUGCCUGGAUAGACUUAGUGGGUAAGUCGGCGAGGUCGGAUGCUGAGCCCACUGGGAACUUCGUUGUAGUUCUCACACCACUAACCCUAUAGGUCCUAGCACGAGCGAGGCGGCGGAGGACUGAGGCAAGGGUGUAGCGCCGUAGAUAGCGGCCGCCGGGACUUUAUACAUUUUGUAGCCAUUCCCAUUUUUGGUAUACAUGUAUCAACUUUACUUUGUUGAUUUAGAGAUGUAAAAUGUAAACAAUCAUGUAUUUGGUAGAUGACUAAUUGUGAAAAGAUAUGAUGGAUGAAUGUAAUAGUUUACUUACUUGAAUUUGGUUUAAAUGUAAUCAAAUAUCAUGUAUGUUGUAUAUUUAGCUUGGAGCUUUCGCUUCCGUUGUUGCUUGCCCUCGUGCAAGCCUUGUAUUACAUAUGCAAAUCCCUUGUUGAUUGCUUAUUUAUACAUGUUGUUGGAGCCUUGGGCGGACAGGGGAGGCUCUGUCCGCUCGGCGUCUGUUGACGUGACCCGAUCCCGACCAAAUUGGCGGGGAUUGGGGCGUGACACGAAGGCUGCCUGACAGCAGACGGAGGCGGUGCUCCGACAGGAGGCACGGAUGCAGCGCCUGGAGGACCUUCUUUUACAGCAAGCGGCAGCUUACAGGGAGACUCAGGCCCCUACACCAUCAGCACCAGUUGUGGACGUUGCCCCUAGAGCGCCAUCCCCCGCGCCCAGUUCGUUGCGAGCAGCGCCUGCGGCCGCACCUCAGGAGGAGGCCAUCACGGUACCACCUGUGCAGAGGCCCCCGGGUAGAGCAGCUUUCCCUACUUGGUUGAGGGAGCGGAGUGGGACAGACUGAUGGAGCGCCUCAACGAGUUCAGGAGGUGCAGUCCCCGGAUCUUCGACGGCAAGAAGGUCGACCACUGGAUCGUGGAGAAGUGGUUGAUGCAUAUGGAGAAGCUCUUCCGUGACACCUUUGUUGAGGAGAGAGAUCGAGUUUGGCUCGCCACACACCAUUUGGACGGCGAGGCCUACCGCUGGUGGUUGGAUCUCCAGGAGAACCCCAGCACUGACUUGGCGGCUAUAUCUUGGAAGAGGUUCAAGGAGCUUCUAUUGGCGCACUACUUCUCAACCAGUGUCAAGCGGAAGAUGGAGCAGGACUUGCGGAACUUGCGCUAAGAAGAUCGGACAGUAGCCAAGUAUGAGCGGGAGUUUUCUCGGCUUCUACACUACGUGCCCUUCGUCGUGCGGGACGAUGAGGACAAGGCCCGUAUUUUCGAGCGAGGGUUGCGACUGUCGAUUUUCCGGUUAGUGCAAUCCUCUAACCUCCAAACCUAUCGAGAGGUGGUGGAUCACGCGCUCAUAGUGGAGAGCGGCGCGGCGGAUGUCCAAGAGCGGCGAGAGGCCAUGGACAAGGGUAAGGCCAAGAGGCCUGCGGCAGAGGGUGCAAGCCAGACGCACUCUAGGAGGCCGCCGAAGCAUCCUAGGAGUCAGCAGCGUGGACGCGGCUCAGCGACGCAGCGAGGAGGUUCUGACCGUCCCCGGUCCUCCCCGUGUGUGAUCUGCAGUGGUCCUCAUUACCCACCGCAGUGUCCACAGCGGGCGGGCAGGUUUUUCCAGUGUGGCCAGGAGGGCCACGUCCGGACUGAGUGCUCCAGAGGUUCUUCAUCGGCACCGUCGACUGCAUCGGCACUGGCUUUACCAGCCGCUACCCACGGGACUCCGUCGACACAAUACCAGCCUGGGCGGCCACCCGUCCAGCGCCAGAGCGAGGGAUCUCGACAGGCCCCGAGUGGGCGUUUGUAUGCUGCUGAGACCGAGGAGGCGGCAGCAGCCGAGGAUGUGGUUGCAGGUAUCAUUUUACUUGAUGGCAUUAGAGUUCGUGCUUUAUUUGAUACUGGUGCAUCGCAUUCAUUUAUAGAUCGGCUGUUUGCCGAGUUGCAUGGCAUUCCUUUGGUUUUCUUGUUGCAUCUGGGACAUGUUGUAGUACCCGACCACACUCUGGAUAUUAGAGAGUAUUGCCCUAGUUGCCCUGUUUAGGUAGGAGAUUGGAUCAUGCCCGUGGAUUUGCUAGCUCUGCGGAAGCUAGGGGAUUUCGAUGUGGUUUUGGGUAUGGAUUGGCUAACCGAGUUUUACGCCACCAUUGAUUGCAAGAAUCGCACGGUUACUUUAAGAGAACCGGGGCAGACUGAGGUUGUAACACACUGGACCUUUGCAAAUUGCGAGAUUCGAGUGAUUGGAUAUGUUUCGAGCUUUCCCACACUUGGUGGAGGGUCGUAGAAUGUUUUUCGAUCUAAAAAGUUCAAAAACUUGAGUUCUGGAUGAAACCAGAGAGUUUUUACUCUCGGCGACCGGUCCCUGAUAGGGGAGACCGGUCCCCCAGUGAGCAGUGUUGCGCUGUCGGCGAGGCAACCGGUCCCUGGCAGGCGAGACCGGUCCCUGAGCGCGUCUUCGCAGUGAGAGACCGGUCCCAUGCAGGGAGAGACCGGUUCCCGAACGAUGGUUUCUCGGGUGCGACACGAGAGACCAGUCCCUUGCAGGGAGAGACCGGUCCCUCUGGGCGAAAAUUGCCCAGACCGGGCUGAUGCAAUUUUAGAUUUUUGAGGGGCCUAGCUGGAUUUUGUUGCAAUAGAUGGUCUAUAUGACCCAUCCACCCUCUCUUCUCCUCAUUUCCCUCCUCACACUCUCCCCACACCCUUGUUAGAGAGAGGAGAAGAAGAAGAAGGAGAAGAAGAGGAGGAGGAUCUAGCUUGGGCUUGGAGCAUUCCUUUGCCUUUCUUCCUCUUCCCACCUUGUUGGUGCUUGAAGGCUUGGAUCUGGAGCUUGCAUAGGAGAAGAUCUUCACCCUUGGAGCUAGGAUUGGAGCUUCUAAGGAGGUUUGUUGCUCAUUUCCCUCCUCUAGACCUUGUUUUGAAAGUAUUUUGUAGAUGGAACCCUAGAAUGGAGAUUUAGGGCUUAUUUUGGGCAUUUUGAAUCUAGGGCUUUUGGAGCUAAAUAGUUGGAUUAGAAUCUUCCUUGGGCUUGGUUUGGAAGGAUUCUAGCUCUCUUUUGGAGCUUAGGAGAGGAUUGUUACUCUUUAAGUGAGUUUUAGCCCUUUUGCCUUGUUUGUUAAUGUUUGAUCUAAUGGUUGAUCGUAAUGCCCUUGUAUCUCUUCGCUGAAUACUUUUAGGGUAUUUGGAGACUUGUGGACAACUUCUUUCGGAGAAACGAAGGACACCGCGACGGUUCGGUGGGUUUGACCUAGCCUGGCAUAUGAGAAAUUCUCAUAUCCCAUGUUUUAUGCUUGUAGAGUAAAAAUUCAUGCAUUUCUAUGUUAAAUGUAUUUAUUGUGAAUUUUAGGAUGCUUAAUAUGCCUAUAUUAUGUGUGAGAAAUUUCGGGCCCCUAUAGAGUAGAGGGCUACCAUGUGGGACUUGUAUACGAUGGGCAUCCUAUUGAGACUUGGUAUCCUAACUCCUAUUGUGAAAAUGAGCAUUUCUAUCCUAUAUUUUGAGCUAUUCCUACUUGAGACAUAGAGGAUCUAAGUAAGUCAUAAAGGGGCAUAUGACAAGAUUGAUAUGUGAAAUUCUGAGCUAAUGUCAUGAAGCGGCAUUGAGCUUGGGUUGUGUGUGAGCCUAGUGGAUAGGGCUGUUGAGCGAUUUAGAACUGGAACAUGUUUGAACAUCAAAACGUCUAAGUGUCAUAAAGGGGCACUAGACUUAGUGAUUGAUUGGAACUUCACACUUUGACCUAGAACUAGAUCAUUGAGAUGCUAGUGACUAUUACCAUGUUAGAGACAUGAGGAUUGGAUACGUGAGACUUGGACUAUGCUUGCUUGCCAUUUGUGCUCAUUCGCACAUGCUUGUGAGGGUCGCUCCCUACAAGCCGGCACUCCGGAGUUGGCCUACGCGACUUAUGUUCGCUCGUGCGGUAUCGAGAAACCUACGGGGUCGGGAGGGAUAGACUCAUUCCUAGAGUGGGAAUGCUGGAGCUACCACCGACACUUAGGUGGCACAAGCUGGACUACAAUAUGUGGGUCCUAGAAUAUGUUGGAAAUAAUGACAUUUGAUUGAGAGAUGAUAAUCACUACUAGAUAGGAUUAGUAGUUGGAUUACUAUGACAUGCUUAUAGCAUAGUGUUGAGACACGUAGUAUACUCGAUAGUUUAUUUAUUGCAUCAUAGUAUCCUUGCUGCCAUGAUAGAGCAUAUUCAUCAUACAUUGACAUUGUGGAUCAUGUUACCUACCUGUUCAUUAUGUUGGGACAUACUAGUCAUGUUUGGACUUGCUUCAUUGGGAUAAAGUAGAUGUACACACUUUCGACAUCAUGUUUACUUGUGAUAUAGUAGCUUAGCAAUUAUUUAUGCUUUCAUAAUGCAACUAUUUCGUUACUAUUUCCUUGUUGACUUACCCUUUUCUUUUGGGGCCUAGUGGUGCAUUGAGCUAAGGUCAGUAAUUGCCUACUGGGAACUAUAAAUUAUAGUUCUCAUGCCCUCUGCUUUAUGUCUUCUUUCAGAGCCUUCCACGCCGGGAGAGGCUAGGGACCGAGGGAAGGGCGUUGCUUCGAGCUAGCUCUUCUGCGAGGGACGAGUGGUUAGGUGGUCUACCUCUCGACGUUUUUUUUUAUUUUUGCGAGAGGUUGAGGGUUUCACCAGUGUACUAGAGACCACCCCUUUGUGUACUAUUUUUGGAGAUGAUAUUGUACUACUUUAUGUUUUACUCUUAUUGUUUUUGUAUACCUCUUUUACCUUGUUAUAAACUAUAGAUAUGUCUGUGCUCUGAUAUCUCUAGAUGUAGAUUAUCUUUGGUUUUAUUUUUCGCUGUUGUUUUAGACGCCUUAUAUGUGUUAACAUAUGGCGGGUCUGGGCACGCUAUCGGGAGGGCCUCUGCCGGUUCCGGGGCGUGACAGAGGUUGUGUUUAGAGGAUGCCGGAGUUCGCUUUUUGCGAUGUCGAUCAGCUCGUCUCAAGCUAGGCAGCUGAUCAGCCGAGGAUGUGUAGCCUACUUGGCUAGUGCUGUGUUGAGGGGCGAGGAUGACACCCCUAGGAUUGAGGAUAUUUCGGUGGUACGGGAGUUUCAGGACGUGUUUCCAGCUGAGCUGCCGAGUAUGCCACCUGAUAGGGAGAUCGAGUUUGUGGUAGAUCUCGUCCCUAGGACUACUCCAAUCUCGAAGGCACCCUAUAGGAUGGCACCGGCGGAGCUGAAGGAGCUGAGGUGUAAGGAAGUGAAUUCGCGAAAUUUGAGAAUUGUACUUCACCCAGGAUCGGCUAACUGUCGAGAGAAUACCCUUUGUGGGAGUUGAAAAUAUCCAAAACACAAAAAAUGCUUUGGAGUUGAGUCCGCGAGAGCAAAUAGACAAAAUCUGGACUCAGCAGAUUUUUGCUCUCGGGGACCGGUCCCUGGAGGGAAGGACCGGUCCCCGUAGCUGAUGGUCGCGGGGGAGGUCGAUGUGACCGGUCCCUAGCUGAGGGGACCGGACCUCGUGCGCGACACCCGCGAGAAAAAGCCUAAAUUUGGCUAAGUCCUGAAAGUUCCCCGCUUGGGAACCGGUCUCUCAGGAAAGACCGGUCUCCCAGGGACCGGUCCCUCAGGUGAGGACCGGUUCUCGUACGCGAAAAGUCCCCAGACUGCAGGGAGAGCUCUCGGGGAUCGGUCUCCCCGACCAGGGACCGGUCCCCCUGGGCGAAAACAGCCCAGUGACAGCUGCGUGAGAGAUGAAAAGUUGAGGGGUCUAAAUGCAAAAUGGCCUUUAUUAGAGAGGGCUAAGCCCCCUCUCUCCCUCACACUCUCAUAUUCUCUCUCUCUCACACUCUCUUUCUCUCUUGCUCUCUCCCUCUAGAAAGGAAAGGAGAAGAAGAAGAACAAGAAAGAGAGGAAGGAAAAGAAGAAGAAGAUAAGGAAGGAGAAGAAGAAGGAGAUCAAGAAGAAGGCUUUGAGCACCUUCAUCUCCCUCUCCUCUUCUCUUUCGUGUAGCACAAGAGGUAAGCUCUUGAACCCUAGCUUCAAAAUUUUGGGUUUUUGGGUUUUGGUGCUUUGGAAUGGGUCAAAUGGACCCUAAGGAUGCUUCUAAGUAGAUCAAUCCCAUAAAUGUAGGGAUUUAAUGGAUGGUUUACUAUAGGUGCAAACCAAGGGCUCCAAAAUGGGGAUUUUGUGAAAAUAUGAGAUUGAUCUCAUUUGAAGCCUUGGAAGCCCUAUUGUUAGGUCACAAAACGUGGGGGCGACGUCGGUUUUGACAUUCGGCGAACCGGCGUGAAGUUCUCGGCAAAAUAGGGCCGGGCUAGUGUUGACUUGGGCAAAGAAGGCUAAAGCCUUUUUGUAAAGUUCACCGAGAAGGAUUUUCGAAUCCUCGACAUCGAUUAAAGGUGGGGGGUGCCAUCCCGAAGCUUUUGGACUCCUUUCUAUGUCUUAGAUUGCAUUUGAUCUCAUCUCUUCAUGUUGCAUUGUAGGAUUGCAUAGUAGCUCCAUUCUUUAUGAUUUCUAAUUGAUAACCUAGUGUACUUGGAACGCUUGGUAACUUAGAUAGGUGAGGAUUGGGUCGGAACGUGGAUCCUAUGAUGCGAAUGAAAAGAGAUGUACCCAAUGGGGGUGCUGAUGACAUAGAAAGUAGUGUUAAUGUUAAAGAACAAACGAGUGGCAUCCAAAUGUUAAAUGAUGACGAGUGGCAUUAAUAUAGUGUAAAUAACACUAGAGGUUUGAGAACCUAGGGAUAGGUGAUCCCUUAGAAAAUGCUUUGUGAACAAAAACUUAGUAAACCUAAGUAGCCUCACAUGGAGAGGUUGUCGAUGAGUCGAUUGAGACAUUGACCCUAGUGGUAGGGCUUCCUCACUUGGAGAGGAUCUGAUUGGGUUGUGGACCCUAGUUAUAGUGCUUCCUCACUUGGAGAGGAUUCGAUUGGGUAUUGACUCUAGUUGUAGAGCAUCCUCACUUGGAGAGGACUUGAUUGGAUUGUUGAUCCUAGAUGUAGGGCAUCCUCACUUGGAGAGGAUAGAUCUAGCGCACAGUCUGCGUUUGGGGUGGUAUAGCCAUCCAAUCCCCACAUGGAUGGGAUUGUCGUCGAGUAUUCCGGAGUGUCGCGCGACUAGGACCACUUGGCGGUCCGGACCACAUGGUGGUCCGCAGACGGUCCCGGGCUUGGGUGCACUUGGAGCUCCCUCCCCACUUUGGGAUUGAAAGAGUGAGUUAUAGGCGAGCCCUAGGGCCUCGCCACAGAUUGGGUAAACGGAAAGGUUAAAGGUUUAACAAUGUCAUUAAACAUUACUAUUCGAACAUGGAUCGAAUUUGUUAGCAUAGUAACAAACCUUUAUUAUAUGAUGCAUGCAUUCAUAUUUAUGAUUAUGGGCAUAGUAGCAUAGCUUUCCUACUAUCGCAUUUACAGUUUUCAGAUACAUAUCUACCUAUCUGUCUGUUGUUACAUGUGCCCACUUGGACCUAGUGGGGAGAUCGGCAGAGUCGGCGGCCGAGCCCACUGGGAACUAUGGAAGAUAGUUCUCACCCCACUCUAUUUCCAGUGGUAGGUUCAGGGUUGGCGAUAGAGGACCGCGGCAAGGGCAUAGCGCCCGAUCAGUGAGAUCGCGGUAGUAUAGUAGCUUUCCCUUUUGCAUUAGUACACCUAUGUAUUGAGAGAGAAUCAUUGUAGGUGAGGACUUGGAGAGCUAUGUAUUUUGGAUGAAUGAUAUACUCAUUUAAAGAAAAUGAUAUAAAUGAAAUGAUGAAACUAUUGUAAUAGUUAGUAAAGUACUCUCUUUAUUUCACAUGCUUUAUCUUGUGGAUUACUUGCUCUUGUAUUAUUGGCACUAAUUGUGCCCUUGUGAAUGUGUAUGUUUAGAAUUUAAAUUCUUGGGUAAAUUCUUGUGCACAUUCCGGUUGUUGAGCCUUGGCCGGACAGGGUAGGUGCUGUCCGUUCGACAAUCCGCCUCCGCGGCCGAAUCGUGCCAAAUUGGUAGUGGUUUCGGGGCGGGGCGUGACAGAUCUUUGUUGUAACAUACCACAUCCCUCGUAAAAUGUGCCGAGUUCGGUCAAAACGAGCGGAAUGCGGAGUUGAAUGAGUUAGAAUGGACCCUAAGUGCAUUAGAGUCCAUAAGUGAAGCUAAAAGGGACCUGAGAGAGUAAAUCCGAAAAUCUGGCUAAGUCCCAGAUUUUGUGCUCUUGGGGACCGGUCCCUGAAGGAGAGACCGGUCCCCGUACGCGUAGCCUGCUAGGAAAUCCUGAGGCAUCCAGUCCCUGGUGGUGAGACCGGUCCUCGGGAGACUGGUCCCUGAAGGGCAGACCAGUCCCUCGCUGCGUAGCCAGCCAAAAACCCGAAAAUUUGGCUAAGUCCUGGAAAACCCUCGUUCGGGAACCGGUCCCUGGUCGGGGAGACCGGUCCCCGAAAGCGAAAAAUGCCCAGUCUGGGCAGUUUGAGAGGAAACAAGUGGAGGGGCUUAAAUGCAAUUGUCACAACACUUUAUAUGGGCCAUCCCUUCACUCCCACAGCCAUUCCUCUCCUCCUCUCUCAUUUUCUCACUUUUUCUCUCUAGAAUCCCUCUAGGGCUUGGAGAAGAAGAGGAAGAACUUGGAGAAAAAGGUGGAUUGAGUGCUUUGGAGGUUCUAGGAGCUCUCCAACAAGAAGAAUCUUGGUAGAGCUUGGACUAGAGGUAAGUUUUGUGAGGAUUUCCUCUAGGGUUUGGGUUUUAACCUAAGGGAUUUGAGUUUUGUGCUCCUUAGGCGUUUUAGAAGCUCUUUUGAGCCAUGAAUGCCAUGGUACCCAUGAGAGCUCAAGGUGCUCUCAUGGUGAACCCUUGGAAGUUGGGUUAGGAGCCCUAGGGUUGGUCCCAAAGGUCUAGAAACCUUACUAAGAUGUUUCUUAGAUGAUUUUAAGCUAUUAUUUGCUUAUGGUUGGGAUCGAUUCAUGAGGAAACCCUAAAUGACGAUGUUAGGGCUUGAGAAUUGGGGCUUUUGCCCUAGGAUUUUUCGGGGACAAAUUGACCCCGUAGAAACCUAAUUGGGGGUCGAAUAAACACGUUGGACAACUUUGUUUGAGGAAACGAAAAUGUUUAAGAAUAGUUCAUGUAUACAAGGGCCUAAAUCGGCACCCUUUUGGAUUGUAGGACGCGGAUCGUCGUUCGUAAGGCUCGGGAGACUAUCGCGUUCGUUUUCUACUACCUCACAAGGUGGGUGGUGCAUGCCGGAAUCGUUGGAUUCCCUUCUAUGUCUAUUUCUCUAUUCUUGAGCAUGUAGUUAUUCAUUCCGUCAUGCAUAUUAGGGUUAAUUCACAUGUGAACUUUAGUUGUUUUCAUUAUGUUUAUUCCAAGUGUACUUGAAAGUAGAGAGAAAUGGAACCAUGAUGGACAUGUGUUAUUGAACCCUAGGAAUUGCAUGAUAGUGGGACUUGGACUUAGCACAAGUAAGCAAAUGGUGACAAUGACAUUAGAGAGAUAGAUUGGCUUGGAUAAAUGGAAGUUAAACAUAGAUUUAACUAUGGUGGUAUUGUGACGAGAUCGACUAGAAAGUGGCAUGAGAACAUAGGCAGAAAACCCAUCACAAAAGUGGCAUCGUGACAAGUAGCUUAAUAUCCUCAACGCGGGGAUUUGAUCGACACUCAUAAUAAGUCUUGGCUUGAGGGAGGUCGCUCCUCCUCAAGCGGUGUGUUUCCGUAAAUCGACACCACAGGGAGCGAGGUCUCUGAAGACGGUCCCUCAGGUCGGUAGUGCUUGGAGCCUCCCCGGUAAGGAAAGGGAUUUUGGGUUAUGAGUUAUUGGGGUUAACAAGGUUAACCGGUAAGAUUGGGUAAGAGCCAAAGCUUAUUCAUGAAUUGAGCAUGCAUGCCUAUUUCAUUAUUGCAUUGAGUAUUUGUAUCCACUGACAUUCCUUUGCAGGCAUAGUAUCAGAUACAUUAGUACUGGUUACCUUUCUUUCCUAGAAAUACUUAUGCCUGGAUAGACCUAGUGGGUAAGUCGGCGAGGUCGAAUGCCGAGCCCACUGGGAACUUUGUUUAGUUCUCACACCACUAACCCUACAGGUCCUAGCACGAGCGGGGCGACGGAGGACCGAGGCAAGGGUAUAGCGCCGUAGAUAACGGCCACCGGGACUUUAUGCAUUUUGUAGCCAUUUCCCUUUUGGUAUACAUGUAUCAACUUCUUUUGUUGAUUUAGAGAUGUGAAGUUGUAAACAAUCAUGUAAUUUUGGUGGAUGGCUAAAUGUAAAAAGAAAUGAUGGUUGAAUGGAAAUGUAAUAGUUUAUUUACUUGAAUUUGGUUUAAAUCUAAUCAAAUAUCGUGUAUGUUGUCUAUUUAGCUUAGAGCUUUCGCUUCCGUUGUUGCUUGCCCUCGUGCGAGCCUUGUAUUAUAUAUGCAAAUCUCUUGUUGAUUGCUUAUUUAUACAUAUUGUUACAGCCUUGGGCGGACAGGGGAGGUUCUGUCCGUUCGGCGUCUGUUGACGUGACCCGAAUCCGACCAAAUUGGUGGGGAUUGGGGCGUGACAUUUGUGGUAUCAGAGCAUUAAAGGGCAAGUAAAGAGAGAAAGUCUAGGAUGACCUAGGAGACCCUAGGUUGGUAAGCCCUAAGGUUAUAGGUGCGUCAGCGGAACGUGAACCUAUAGCGAUGGCGAAACUGAUUCGAUUAGGUCGAAGUUGGUAAUAUGUCUCUAGUUGUGAUUAGAGACGGAUUCAAGUAGUAUGAGUUCUUGUCUUGAGGUGGUUAUGCCGGCGGCCGACGACAUGAUACCAAGGGUCUAGAACGAGUACACUUGUGUACUUCCGCCCAAUUUCAUUGUUGAGUCGUUGUAUGUCGUAAUUGCGACGAGACGAACGGGUUAAGGUAAUUAACCAUGUACUUGCGUUUCAAGAGCCAAUGGCACCAAGAGGACGCCCGAGCACGAGGUCUACUCCGGCACCGAUUCCUGAGGUGCCCGAGCAGGAGGAACCGAGCGUGAUCGAUCGGUUGUAAGCGCAGGUGACCGCGCUGACCAAUGUGGUGCAGCGCCAGGAGACCUGAUUUGAGCGACUCCAGGAUCUAUUGGAGCGGCAGAUUGCGGCGGCGGCUGCAACGGUGAAUGAGGGCGGUGGUCCGCCCGCACCCUCAACUCAUAUACCCAGAGCGGCGUAGGGUGAGGGCAUAGCGGCGGUUCCGGUGACGGCACGCCCACCACCAGCGAUCGUACCACAGGUGGCAUCGGGGUCGGCUACACCCGAUGUGUCGGCCGAAGACGUGGAGGGAGAGCGUGCGUUGGCGGCUCUUAUCAAGUUCAACAAGUUCCAUCCGCCAACCUUCGAGGGCGAGAAGGUGGAACCGGAGAUGGUCGAGUCUUGGAUUGACUCGAUGGAAACCCUCUUCGAUGACUUGCGUACCUUGGAGAGGGACAAGGUUUACCUCGCCACCCAUUGUUUGGAGAAGGCGGCGAAGGUUUGGUGGAAGCGCGUUAAGCGGGAUCGGCUUCCCGGCCUUCCGCCAAUGUUGUGAAAGAGUUCAAGCGGGAGAUGUUUGCUAACUAUUUCCCCGAUACACUGAAGCGGAAGCUCAAGGAGAAAUUUCGCAAGUUGGAGCAAGGGGACUGCUCAGUGGCGAAGUAUGAACAAUAAUUCUCCCAUAUUAUCAAUUGCGUCCCAGACGUUGUAAAGGAUGACCGAGAUCGGGCCGAGUGGUUCUUGCGAGGACUUCGGUCGGGAAUUUACAAGGCCGUGCAAAUACUUAAGCUCACGACCUUUGCGGAGGUCUUUGAUCGAGCCCUAUGGGCGGAGCACGGAGACGCCCACGUUCGGGAGAAGCAUGAGCUUUUGGCCGAGUCCAAGGAUAAGGGCAAGAAACGCCAAGGUGGCGGUAGUUCGGGGGGACAAGCACGUUACAAGAAACCCCCGAAGUAUCUGCGCACUCAACAAAAGGGCGGUGGAGCGUGGUGAUGCAUUGUGUGCGGCGGAGACAACCCGGUCUCACGCUGUGAGCAAAGCCGAGGCAAGUGCUACAAGUGUGGGCAACCGGGGCACUUCAUUCGGGAUUGCCCGGGAGGAGGAGCCUCACCUGCCCCAUCGAUUGCAUCGGCGCCGGCGAUUCCGGCUCACUAUGGAGGAGCUCUACCGACGGCCGCGUCAACGGGACGCGCGAUGAUGCUGCAUCAACCUGAAAUGACGCGAUCGGCCCCGAGCGGACGGGUGUUCGCCGCUCAGGUCCAAGCUGAGGAACCUGCAGAGGCGGAGGAGCAUCUCCUUGUGGCAGGUAUGGUUUUAAUUAACGGAGUUCGCUCCAGGACUUUAUUUGAUACAGAAGCCACGCAUUCAUUCAUAAGUAGAUCAUUCGCACGCAUGCAUGACAUUCUCAUGGAAGUGAGUGACAAGUAGCGAGUGGAGGGCCCUAGGUGAACGUUUAACACUUACUCGGAGUGGAAGUGGAAUGAGUAGCUCCGACGUUAGAGGAGUUAUCUGUGGUGCCGGAGUUCCCAGAUGUGUUUCCUGCGGAGUUGCCAGGGAUACCACCGGAUCGGGAGAUUGAGUUCGUCAUAGACUUGGUUCCCGGUACCGCACCGAUCUCGAAGGCUCCGUACCGAAUGGCGCCGGCGGAAUCAAGAGAGUUGAGGAGUCAACUGCAAGACCUCCUCGACAAGCAAUUUAUCCGGCCCAGUGUAUCACCGUGGGGAGCCCCGGUGUUGUUCGUAAGGAAGAAAGAUGGAUCGUUCCGACUCUGCGUGGACUAUCGAGAAUUAAACAGAGUCACGAUCAAGAACAAGUACCCACUACCCCGAAUCGAUGACUUGUUCGAUCAGUUGCAGGGAUCGUGUGUGUACUCGAAGAUAGACUUGCAAUCCGGCUAUCACCGGCUAAAAAUCAAGCCGGAGGAUGUGCAGAAGACCGCGUUCCGCACGCGGUAUGGACAUUACGAAUUCACGGUUAUGCCAUUUGGACUCACGAAUGCUCCGGCGGCGUUCAUGGAUUUGAUGAACCGUGUCUUCAAGAGGUAUUUGGACCGAUUUGUCGUGGUCUUCAUAGACGACAUAUUGGUCUAUUCUCGUAGUGACGAGGAACAUGCCGAGCAUUUGAGAAUAGUGCUUCAAGUCCUUCGGGAGGAGAAGCUAUAUGCUAAGCUGAAGAAGUGUGACUUCUGGCUCCGCGAGGUCGCCUUCUUAGGGCAUGUGAUCUCCGCGGGUGGAGUUUCUGUAGAUCCGAGGAAAGUUGAGGCAAUCAAGGAUUGGCUGCGCCCGACGAAUGUCACGGAGGUUCGAAGCUUCGUGGGCUUGGCGGGCUACUAUAGGCGGUUUGUGGAAGGCUUUUCCAAGAUAGUGAUUCCACUUACCCGCCUGACUCAGAAAGGCACCAAGUUUAUGUGGAGCGAAGAGUGUGACCGGAGUUUCAAAGAGUUGAAGCAGAGAUUGACUUCGACUCCGGUGCUCGCUCUACCGGUGCAGGGCGAAGACUUCGUAGUCUACAGCGAUGCUUCCUAUCUUGGAUUGGGGUGUGUAUUGAUGCAAAACGGGAAAGUGAUUGGUUAUGCAUCCCGUCAGCUGAAGAGCUAUGAAAAGAACUACCCUAUCCACGAUUUGGAGUUAGCGGCGGUAAUCUUAGCCUUGAAGUUGUGGAGGCACUACCUGUAUGGUGCCCACUGUGAGAUCUAUACCGACCACAAAAGCUUGAAGUACCUGUUCACACAGAAGGAGCUCAAUAUGCGUCAGCGGCGGUGGUUGGAGCUAUUAAAGGAUUAUGAUGUUGAUAUCCUCUACCACCCCAGGAAGGCAAAUGUGGUUACGGACGCACUUAGUAGAAAGUCGGCGAAGAACCUCGCUUUUGAUGUUACCCAGCAAACACCCCUAUGGUUGGAUAUGGAGCGAUUGGACCUUGAAGUGGUCACUCCCGAGGUCCCGACUCAGUUGAUGGCACUCGUUGUCCAACCGACCUUGUUAGAGAGGAUCAAAGAUCUGCAACCCGCAGACCCAGAACUCCAAAAGGUGCGGCGAAACAUCGAGUAAGGGCAUGGGGGAAUUUUAAAGUAAACGCCGAUGGUACGCUUCGGUUUCGAAACCGAUGGUGUGUGCCGAAGGAUGGAGAGCUUCGUGAAUUGAUUUUACAAGAAGCACACCGAUCUCCAUAUGCCGAUCACCCGGGCGGCACCAAGAUGUAUCAAGGACUAAAAAUGCACUAUUGGUGGCCGGGAAUGAAAGAUGAUAUUGGAUGCUUUGUGGCGAAGUGCUUAACAUGCCAACAAGUGAAGGCCGAGCGUUGAUUUCCAGUGGGAAAGCUUCAAAACCUACCAAUCCCCGUUUGGAAUCGAUGGAUUUCGUGGUCGGCUUGCCUCGCUCAACAGGCGGCCACGAUGCAAUUUGGGUAAAUGUGGAGCGAUUGACAAAGUCGGCUCACUUCUUGCCGAUCCACACUACGUGGUCGGGUGACAAGUUAGCGCAGGUAUAUCUUGACGAGAUAGUGAGACUGCACGGGGUGCCAAAAUCGAUCGUGUCGGAUCGUGACCCCCCGGUUCACUUCACACUUCUGGAAGAGCCUGCAGGAAGCCCUUGGCACACGGCUCGACUUUAGCACCGCAUUUCAUCCUCAGACCAAUGGUCAAACAGAGAGAACUAUUCAAACUCUGGAGGACAUGUUGCAAGCGUGCGUCAUCGACUAUAAAGGAAGUUGGUGUGAUCACCUACCUAUGGCCGAGUUCGCCUACAACAACAGUUAUCAUGCUAGUAUGAGAUGGCACCGUUCGAGGCUCUUUAUGGGCAGACGUGUCAGUCUCCUAUACACUGGAGCGAUGUGGGUGAGCGUAUAGAGUUCGUUCCUGAUGUUUUGCGAGAAGCGGAGGAGAAAGUCCGCCUUACUCGCAAGAGAUUGCUCACGGCGCAGUCGAGAUAGCAAAGCUAUGCAGAUAGGCGCCGUCGAGAUAUAGAAUUCGCGGUAGGCGACCGCGUAUUCUUGAAAGUUUCACCGAUGCGGGGUGUGAAGCGAUUUGGAGUGCGGGGAAAGUUGAGCCCCCGAUACAUUGGACCAUAUGAGAUACUGGAGCGAGUCGGCACAGUGGCCUACCGACGUGCUUUGCCGCCGAAGCUUCCGGAUGUACACAACGUGUUCCAUGUCUCCAAUCUCCGCAAGUAUAUUCACGACCCCGAGCAUGCGAUGCUACAUGAGCCACCGGAGCUUCAAGGAGACUUGAGCUAUGAAGAGUUUUCGGUAGGGAUUAUUGCCCGAGAGGUGCGAAAGUUGAGAAAUCGAGAAAUCCCCUAUGUGAAGGUUAGGUGGAGCAAUCACGAGGAUAACGAAGUCACCUGGGAACUCGAGAAUCUGAUGAGAAAACACCAUCCUCAUCUAUUUGAGGAGUAAGGUAUGGGUUUAAGUUAAAAUAAAGAAUUGAGUUCGUUUUGAGGACGAAACUCCUUUUAAGGAGGGGAGAAUGUAAGAAAGUGAAUUCUCGAAAUCCGAGGAUUGUACUUCACCCAGGAUCGGCUAACUGUUGAGAGAAUACCCUUGUGGGAGUUGAAAAUCUCCAAAACACAAAAAGUGCUUUGGAGUUGAGUCCGCGAGAGCAAAUAGACAAAAUCUGGACUCAGCAGAUUUUUGCUCUCGGGGACCGGUCCCUGGAGGGAAGGACUGUCCCCGUAGCUGAUGGUCGCUGGGGAGGUCGAUGCGACGGGUCCCUGGCUGAGGGGACCGGUCCCCGUGCGCGACACCCGCGAGAAAAGGCCUAAAUUUGGCUAAGUCCUGAAAGUUCCCCGUUCGGGAACCAGUCUCUCAGGAAAGACCUGUAAGGUACCAGACUUCUAAAAUUAUGAAGUUAUGGUGUACGUGGCUUUGGAAAGCCAUUUGAAUGGUUCCGGUGAAGUUCGGUGAGGUUCGGGAGCAAUUCGGUGUUUUGGUGCGCGUAGGCGCGGAAACAGAGCCCGAAAGGCUAAGUUGGGCCGUGAGCUAAAUCCGGCAUUAGCGAGGAUGGAAAGAUGAUGAAAACAUAUUUGAAAACAUGUUUGGAGAGUCUCGAUUCGAUUUGAAUUGAAUCGGAGGUCAAACGGAGCGAAAACGGACGAAGUUGAAAAUUGGCUAAGUCUGGGCUGGAGGUCUCUCUGGGACCGGUCCCAGGUAGAGAGACCGGUCUCUCAGGGACCGGUCCCUCAUGCAGAGACCGGUCCCCGAACCCCGAAAAUGCCCAGUUCGGGCUGUUGCAAGAGAGGCAUUGUUGAGGGACUUAUAUGCAAUUGUUGCAUGGGUUAAGUGUAUAGAGAGGGUUAGAACACCUCUCUCUCUCUUUCCCUCACCGUUUCAACCCCAACACCAUCCCUCUCUCUCUCUCUAAACGAAAGAAGAAGAAAAGAAGAAGAAGACGAAGGAGAAAGAAAAGAAGAAGAAGAAGAAGAAGGAGAAGAAGAUCAAGAAGGAGAUCUUCAUCCUCUCCUUCGUCUUCCUCGUGCUUGGAGCGAACCUAGAGAGGUAAGUUUUGUUACCCUCUCAUGGUAGAUCUCUAGAAAUAGGUCUAAAUGCUCUAGAAGUGAGUUUAGUAGGCUCCUUUGAUGCUAGAUAGAUGUUUAUUGCAUGAAUCGGAGAUCGAUUUGGGGUAUUUUGCAAUAGUAGCAUCUAGGGCAUCGAAAAUGGAAUUUUUGUAAAUAGAUGGGUUUGAUCUCAAAUAACCCUCUGUAAACCUAAUUGAUAGGUAACGAAACACGUUGGCGAGGACGGUUCGGCAAUCUGACGAGCCGUUACAAAGAUAUUGAAGAAACGGACGCUUAGAGCUUCGUUUCCGCCUAGAGGGCCGAGGCGACGUCCAUAAAUCGUGAAAUCGGGUCCCGAGCAUCGUAACGGCGAAGCGAAGAUCGUUAGCACUUGAAACGGCGAAGCGACACGCUCUUGGAGAGCAACUGUGAGAUCGGGCCCAAACGGGUGCCGAGUGCCGCGGGAGGCCGAUUGCAAGUGUCGACGAGCAAUCGGAACGCGAGUUAAGGUGGGUUGUGUUUACCGAAGCGACUAGGUCGCCCUUUAUGUCUAAGAUGAUUAAGAAUCCAUGUUGAUACAUAUGAAUGUAAAUGAGGCAUAUAGAUGAUGCAUAUAAAUGUAAAUAAUGCAUGUUAAUAAUAUGAUGCAAAUGCUAAGUAGAUCCAUGUAAAAUGAUAUGUUAUAGAAUACAUGCUAGUGAUAAUGCAAAUGAUAUGUAUGUGUGCAUUGGAGUAUAUGCUAGUUGCACUUAGCAUUAUGAGUUCAUGCUAGAUAGUAAAUGCAUAUUGGCAUCAUAGAAUGUAUGCGAGAUGAAAUGUGGAUAUCUAUAGUACUCGUUAUGACAAAUAGGAUAUCAGGUAGAUCGAGUGGCAUUAACCUAGUGUUAAUAAACAUAGGUCGAACAUAGAUGACAUUGAACCUAGUGUUGUUGAACCUAGGAUAAAUAACGAGUGGCAUCUAACCUAGUGUUAAAGAACAUAGGUUGAGUAUGAACCUAGAGUCGGGAUCUAGGUGUGUGGCAUCUAACCUAGUGUUAAAGAACAUAGGUUGAGAACUGAACCUAGAGUUAAGGUAAACCUAGGUUGUGAAAUUGAGGCAUUAGACCUAGAGUCAGUUGGACCUAGGGUGGAAAGUGCAUUGGACCUAGAUAGGUCAAUAGUAUAGGGUUGGAUAUGGACCCUUGACUUGUGAAGUCGAUUCCGGAAUCCCAGUACUUGUGAACUCAAUAGUUCUUGGACCGCGGGUGUAUGCGGCGAUGUUCCUCUCCCACCGGAAGAACUUUGAGGAUUAUAACUAAGCAAGAACAAAGAGCACUAGGGUGUACGCAGCAUGUUCCUCUCCCUAUCAGGGAUCUUGGCUAUGGGUGUAUGCGGCAUGUUUCCUCUCCCUCUGGCAGAUCCCUGACCACGGUGCACGGACCUUCGGGUGGACCGUUGGGCGAUGUGGUUUUUGGCUUGCAGGCUGAGGUGCAUGCGACAGGGUCCUUCACCUCGAGCCGGGCAAAGCGCAGAUUAUCCGCAGUUGAUUGACUCGAGGCCGAGUCGGGUGGCUAGCUGGAAUAAGGUAGAUAGAACCUUGAGGGCUAGUGGGUAAAUGUGAUAACCUAAGGUAGUAGAAACCUUAGAGUUGGAUGACAUGAGCUAAGAUUAGCGAGAUUGAUUGUAGAAUCAAUAAUUCUACUAGUUGUUGUAUAUAUUCCUGUUGCAUAUAGUAUGGCAUCAUUGCAGUUGUGAGACAAAGCAAGGUAAAGUUAGUUGCAUGUUUAUGAUAUACAUAUUUAUCUGUUUAUUGGACUAACUUGUAUUUGCCUCUCUUGCACCUGUUGGUCGAGUUCCUCCCUUGGGUGGCCGUACCCACUGGGAACCAUGGAGUUGAUUCUCACCCCACGUUGUUUUGGGGUUUUACAGGUUCGCACGUGAGCGACGCGGCGGCGCGAGGCAAGGGCGUAGCUCCAUAGAUAGCGCCCUACCCCCAGAGACCAGAGCUAGCAGUACCCCGUCGACGUAGCUUAGGGGUAUAGAAAAUGAAAGCAAGCAAAUGUAUUUACCUUGUAAUAUCUAUGAUGUAAUAACUUAAUUGCAUUUGGAGGUUGAAUGUGAUGUAAAAUGAAUCUAAUGUGAAUGCUUGUAAUAUCAUAGGAUGUGUUUAUGUUGAUUGAUACCUUCCUGAUGCAAUUCUGUUUGCUGAGUACUGUUCCUGGUUGGAACCNNNNNNNNNNNNNNNNNNNNNNNNNNNNNNNNNNNNNNNNNNNNNNNNNNNNNNNNNNNNNNNNNNNNNNNNNNNNNNNNNNNNNNNNNNNNNNNNNNNNUCGUCGAUUCGUCGAGCGGGUGCGACGUUCCGGCUGAAACAAGUGUUCGUGGGUUCGUAUUGACCCGAGGAGCCGAGGCGGCUUCCAUAAAUCGUAGGAUCGCAUCCCAAGCAUCAUAACGAAGAACCGAAGACCAUUAAUUUACGAAUCGCAAAUCGGUGGUCAUCUGACGGUCGUGUGUGAGUGGGGUCGAGCCAUGCGGCGUGCGCCGCGGGAGGCCGAUUGCGGGUGACGACGAGCAAUCGGAACGCGAUAAAAGGUGGUUGGUGACCAUCCCGAAGCAACAGGGCCCCCUUCUAUGUCUUAGUACAUUUUGAUUCUUGCAUCUUGUAUUAUUGCACUAUAGGAUGAUUGUGCAUUGCCUUUCCUUAUGCUUUCCUUGAUGAUAUCGUAGCAUGUACUGGAUACUUGAUAUAGUGGAUUGAUAAGGAUUGGGUCGAGACUUGUGAAUCCUAUAGUGCAGAGAAAAAGAUGGGCUCAAUGGUUGGUUUAAUGUUAAACAAAGAACGAGUGGCAUUUAGUCGAUAGUAAACAAUGAACGAGUGGCAAUCUAGUUGAUAGUGUAUAAGAAAACAAGUGAUACAUGUCAAACUUAGUGUAUACGACACUUAUGGACUAUAUGAUGAUAGUAAACCUAGAGGAUAGGGUACCCUCGAGUGGAGAGGAUUGGAUCAUGCUCACGGUCUAUUUUUUUUAACUUGUGAUGGAAGCCCCACACAAGAAGUGCGCUCCGGAGUUGGUCACAUGGGAUGGCCUAUUUUGGGUCCCAAGGGAUGGCCUAUUUUGGGUCCCGGCAGAUGGUCUCGGUUCGUAGUGCGAGUUGACCCCCCCUACCUUCGACAUGGCUAGUGAGCAGUAGGCGAGCCUUCAGGGAAGCCACGAGAUUAAUAAACAAGUAAAUGAGAUUGAUGAACAAGUACAUAGCUUUACUUUUUGGACAUGAUGACAGGUUAGUUGCUUACCAUUUCAUUGUACAUGCAUUCAUAUGUUUAUGAUUCGGGCAUAGUAGUGUAGCUUUACUAUCCUGUCUUUACAGCUUUGCUUUUUAUCUACCUAUCUAUCUGGUUAUCUACUUGUGCCCACUUGGACCUAGUGGGGAGACCGGCGGAGUCGGCUGCCGAACCCACUGGGAACUAAGGAAGUUAGUUCUCACCCCCCAUUUUACUACAGGGCCGAGCGCGAGCUUGCUCAGCGAGGAUCGCGGUAAGGGCCUAGCGCCCUAGUUGCAUUAGUUUACUUUCCUAUUUCUGCAUUAGAGUCACCUUUAUAUGCAUUGAGAGUAGAUGAUGUAUAGGAUGUGAGAUAUUCUGGAAUGAAUGUAAGCUAAUGUUUAUAUUUUGGAAGAUGUAAGCUUUAUAUUAUGUUUAGAAGCUUAAUGUAUAAUCAAGUUGUAUUAUAAAGGCUGAAUGAAUGUAAUAGAUAGAUGUUCCUCUCUUUAUCAUUACUUGUAUAUCUUAUACUUGUAUCUUGCUCUUAGUUGUUUAGCACUGAUUGUGCUCCCCUCGUAGUUGUUGAGUGAUCAUGUAUGUAUUCAAGUGAUUUCCUGGGAACUUGUUGUACAUGAUCUCGCUGUUGGCCUUGGGCGGACAGGGGAGGUGCUGUCCGUUCGGCGUCUGUUCGACGCGCCCGAACUGGACCAAAUUGGUAUCGAUUUCGGGGCGUGACAGAUAAAAGUGGUAUUAGAGUAGUUAAGAUCAAGUAAAGAGAGAAGUCUAGGAUGGACCUAGGGGACCCUAGGACGGUGAACCCUAAGGUUAUAGGUGCGUGAGUGACGUGAACCUAUACGGUGGCGAAAUUUGGAUCGAUUGGGUCAAGUUAGUAAACCUCUAAGAUGGAUGUUAGAGGUGGAUUCAAGGUUUUGUUUAUUCUCACCCGAGAGUGUUCAUGUUGGAUGCAUACAACAUGAAACUGAGUGGUGAGAAUAGGCACCCUUGUAUGACUUUCGCCCGAUUGAGUUGCGUUGGCUAGUAUUUGCGACGAAGUUAGUGGGUUAAGGUAAUUAACCGAGUCGUUGUGUUUCAGAAGCUAAUGGCACCAAGGAGACACUACGCGCGUAGAACCGUUCAGGCACUGCCUCCUGAGGUGCCUGAGCGAGCUGGGUCAAGUGAAGCUCAAGAAUUACGAGCGCGGGUGACUACGCUUAUCGGAGUGAUUCAACGCCAAGGAAGUCAGAUCGAGCGGCUCCAAGAGCUUUUGGAGCGACAAGUGGCGACGGCGGCCGUGACGGCAACUGAAGGCCAUGGUCCGUCUGCGCCCUCGGCUCGCGCGCCUAAUGCGCCUGAGGGCGUGAGCAUUUUGGUGACUCCGGCGGUGGCACAUCCCCUGCCGGCUAGUGUUCCUCUGGCGGCUUCGGGUCCUACGAUACUCGAUGCGGCAGCUGGGGAAGUGAGGCAGGAACGCGAGGCGUUCAAGGAGAGUGGAGUGAAGAAACGGCCUGGUGGUGGUUUGGGGGAACAGUCUAGUUCCAAAAAGGCCCCGAAGUACCAAAAGAGACGGUCUGUUAGCCAAGCACCUCAGCGAUGUGUGUUUUGCGGUGGAGAGCAUCGCGCAGGGACUUGUGAGCAUCGGGCGGGACGAUGCUUCAGGUGUGGUGAGGCGGGACAUAUGGCCCGUCAGUGCGCGGAAGGAGUGCCACCUGCCCCGUCAGUUGCAUCCGCCCCAGAGAUUCAGCGACAGUUUGGUGGAGUUCCGUCUGCUACUGCCGUAUCUGCGGGGUGUGUGAUUUGUGGAGGAUCCCACCAGGCGCGGCGGUGUGCGCUGCAAAAGGGAAGGUGUUUUCGUUGUGGGUAGUUUGGCCACGUGCAAUAUAGUUGCCCCUUGGGCGAUGGACGACUCCUGCCGACAGCGACGACAUUCACCUCUUCGGGACAGAUGGUGGAUGUGCAGCCUGUGGAACAGUCUGGAGAGCUAGGGGUGGUCGAGCAGCCGGAGGAUUCUCAGGGAGCGCCAAGCGGCCCUGGAUGCGCGGAUCAAGUCGAGGAACCUGCUGGUGUUGGUGAUGCUACCGCAGGUAUGAUUUAAUUAAAGCAAUCAUAUAUUCUAGCAAGAAGUAGUUUGAACAAUUGCAUGCAUUUGCUUUGUGGUCUUUCGCUACUAUUUAUAUGUUAGUAUAGUGGCGACCAGGACGUGGGUUAGUGUACCUACUCUAGUAUGCAUAGGUUGUAGUAGUAUGUCACCUAAAGGGGAUUGGUGAUUAGUCAGUACCGGCAAGUUGCUGGUGACGAACCGAGAGUGAGACUCCCUUUGGGGAUCUGUGCGUUGUAGGGUGAGGCGGGGUACGCCUAGCCGUGCGUUGUUUGCAAACAAUCGGCAAAGGUGUGGUAGAAAGGCAUUCGAUGGAAUCGAUUGCCUGGCCUCCCUUCUGUGGUCAGGGAUGAGUUCAGGGAUUGGUAUCCUCUGUUCACUUCCCCGACGGUGAGAGAGGAAAGCUUCAAGAAAGGUUUCCAAAGCUGUGGCAGGUAAACUGCACUGUGAGACGAUACGAGCGGGAGUUCUCCCUUGUCGUGAAAUGCAUCCCGAACGUAGUGCGGGAUGAUGAGGACAUGGCCGAAUUGCUUGUGCGGAGAUUUCGGCCGGGCGUUGUUAAGGUCGUGUAUGUAAGGAAAGUGGAUUCUCGAAAUCCGUGGAUUUGACUUCGUCAAAAAUCGGCUAAUUGUCGAGUGUGUAGGCUUCGGAGAAGCCGAAUGUCACGCCCCGGGAUCGGCAGAGGCCCUCCCGGGAGCGCGCCCAGACCCGCCAUAUGUCUACACAUAUAAGGCGUCUACAAUAAAAGCGGAAGUAAAAGCAAAAAUAAUCUACAACUAGAGAUAUCAGAGCAAAUAUAAUUCUAUCAUCUAUAAGGAGAGAGUACAAAGAUCACAACUAAACCAUAGAAGUAAAAUAUAAGGGAAUACAAUAUCUGUCCAAAAGUACACAAAAGGGGUGGUCUCUAGUACACUGGUACAGCUCUCAACCUCUUCAAAAUAAAAACAUCGAGAGGUAGACCACCUAGCGACUCGUCACUCGCUGAAGAGCUAGCUCGAAGCCACGCCCUUCCCUCGGUCCCUAGCCUCUCCCGGCGUGGAAGGCUCUGAAAGAAAACAUAAAACAGAGGGCGUGAGAACUAUAAUUUAUAGUUCCCAGUGGGCAAUUACUGACCUCAGCUCAAUGCACCACUAGGCCCCAAAAGAAAAGGGUAAGUAACGACAAUAAUAAUAAGCAAUAAAGAGCGAGUAUAAGAACUGCUGAAAGAAAGCAUAAAUGAAAUGCUAUACUACUUAUGUUUCAAGUAAGCAUGAUAUCAGGGGAUGUAACAUCUACGCUAUCAUAAGAUAAUAUGUCCAAUGCAUAGGAGUAAGCUCUAUCAAAGCACCCAGUAUACUAUGAUGUAAUGAAUGAAACAAGCAAGUUAUACUAUAUAUAGUAUCCAAUGCCUUGUCAUUGAGCAUGUCAAGUAAUCCAACUACUAAGCCUAUCUAGUAGUGAUUAUACAUCUCAACACUUGUGCUCGAUUUCCAUUUCCAAUUAAGGACCUACCAAGUUAGUCCAGCUGUUGCCGCCUAAGUGGCCUAUGGUAGCCCAACAUCCCCACUCUUGGAAUGUGUAUGUCCCACGUCGACCGCUGGCUUCUCAAUACCGCACAGCGAACAUAAGUCGCGUAGGCUAACUCCGGAGUGCCGGCUUUAGGGAGCGCCCUCAUAAGCAUGUGCGAAUGAGCACAAAUGGCAAACAAGCAUAGUCAACGUCUCAAGUAUCCAAUCCUCAUGUCUUAACAUGGUAUCGUCACUAGCAUCCCAAAUCUAGUUAAGUCACAAGGGUGAAUUCUAACAUUCACUACGCCUAGUGCCCCUUGAUGACACUUAGACAAUUUAAUGUUCAACAUAAUCAAAUCCCUCAAUGGCCUAACACUAGUUCACACAUACCGAGCUCAAUGCGCUUGAUGACAUUAGCUCUUAAUUCACAAUACAUUCUAGUUCGAUGCCUCUUAUAUGGCAAUUUGUUAUUUUCAUGUCUCAAAUAAACCUAGGUUUAAAUAUAUGAAUCAAAGCUUAUUUCAUUAUAAGGAACAUGGCCAACAUGAGAAUUGCUAAACAAUCAACCAUAAGCUUCAUAUGCGACUCUCUAUACAAGAAGUCAAAAUUGCACUAAUAUGUAACAUAGGAAUUUAAGCAUUCAAAAUUCACAAUAUAAAUACAUAUAACAAGAAUAUGCAUGCUUUUCAUUUUACAACACUUAAAUCAUCAACAAUGAGAUUUUCUCAUUGUGGCUAGGUCAAACCACCGAACCAUCGCGCAGUGCUCGUUUACGCCGAACGAAGUUGUCCACGGUCUCAAAAUACCCUAAAAGUAUUGAACGAAGAGAUUGUCACGCCCCGGACCAGCGGAAGCCGCCAGCACGUGCCCAGACCCGCAUACGUCUAAACAUAUAAGGCGUCUAAAACACGGAUAAUAAAGCAGUAAUAGAGAACAUCUAGGAGUAUCAGAGCAUGUUAAGUUUUAGUUUCUACAUCCAGGUAAGAAGUAUAAAGCUGAAAUAUACUAAGUAAAACAUAAAGUCAGUACAAAGAAAAUUCCAAAUACAAGUGCUAAAGGAAAGAGUCAUGGGUGGUCUCUAUACAUGGAUACAAAAACCUCUCACUCUCUCUAGUACAAAAGAAUGACAAAAAACCACCUAGGGUAAACACAAGCUCUGCGGCCUAACUAGCUAGGCGAUCCCCUUGCCGCGAUCCCGUGCUCGCCUGUGCAGAAGGCUCUGAAAUGAAAACCACAAACGGGGGCGUGAGAACUAUUAAAAAUAGUUCCCAGUGGGCAAUUACUGACUUCAGUGAACUGCACCACGAGACCCAAAAGCUACAAAAAGAAGGUCAGUGUAUGAGUACAAUAAAAGCAGUAAAUGCAACUGACAAUUAAACAUGAAUGCUUGCUACCAUAGGCUACUUCUACUUAGCAUGAAUUUGGCAUAAGUAAGAAAGCUAUUUUAGUCAAUAUACUAAGCCGUCAUCUGUCCACAUGUCAUAGUGAAGUACCCGAAGUCAAAUAUGAAGAGACCCACCCGAAGGCUGUCUAAGGCCCUGAGACCCACUCGUAGGCUGUCUGGCCGGUGCCGAGCCUAGUGGCCCCGUGGUAGUCAUCAUCCCCACCCUAGGGAUGAGCCUGGCCCACGGCAAUCCAUUUCGGCGCCCAAUCCCGCACGGCGAAUAUGAAUCGCGAUGGCUAUCUCCGGAGUGCCAGCUUGUAGGGAGCGACCCUCACAAGCAUGUGCAAAUGAGCACAAUGGCAAAUAGUCAUAUGUCUAGUCACAAGUACCAAGUCCUCAUGUCUAAUAACAUGGAAUGUAUCGAAUGUCCCAAAGGCCUAUCUCUAUGUCAUCCUGUCUCUAAAUUGCAUUUUCAUAGUUUACUAAUUCCAAGUGCCCCUUUAUGACACUUUUGUUCAACGAGUUCCAAGCGUGGCAUUAAUAUGUUCACGAUGCAAUCCCACUCAAUUCUAGCAAAGAGACAUGUUCUCACUUGCAAAAUCAAACACCAUCCACAAUGCAUGCAAUCAACACCUAUAGCUCUACUAUAUAGAGUGCAAAUUUUAUGAUACAUAAUGCAUGCAUUUUAAGGGUUCCGAAGUUCACAUAAAUCAUGUUUAACACGGAUUUGCAUUCAAAAAUACUUUACGAAGAAUUUAGAAAGCAUAGGGGCCAUUUUGCCCCAUUUUCAUGAAGUCAAACCCACCAACGGUAAACGAAACCCUUCGUUUGCCCCAACGAAGGUGUCCUCUAGCCUCCUAGUACCCUAGAGGUAUGAAAACAAGUCUCACUUAGUCGAAACGAACGACGCUAAGCUCAAUCAUUAAGCAUUUAGGGCUAGGGUUGAAGAAAACUCACCGAUUGCGAAGAAAGCUCUCACAAUCUUCAAAUGGGAGCUAGAGUCCUUCCAAUCAAACCUAAACAAAGGUUCUAAACUCAUCAAAUAGGUUUCAAAGCCCUCAAAUCCAAAAAGCCCCAAAUCUAACCCUAGAACCCCAAUCUAGGGUUUCAUCAAGCAAAAAGCUCCAAAAUUAGGAUCUAGAGGAGAAGAACUAGUCACAUACCUCUAGAAAGCUCCAAACCAAGUCCAAAAUCCUCCUAGGUUGAAGAUUGGCCCACCACCAAGCUCCAACCGCAAGCUCCAAGCCACCAAGGGUGAGAAGAGAGAAGGGUUGGUGCUUCAAGGCCUCCAAGCUUGAUCUCCUUCUCCUCCUCUUCUUCUUUUUCUCCUUUCUCUCCUUCUUCUUCUCUAUCUAGAGUGCAAAGGGCUGAGAGAAAUGAGGGAAAGAGAGAGGAGAAAGGCUCUCUAUAGCCUCUAAAGUAACAAAAUCCUGAUAAGCCCCUCAAAAACUCAAAUUUACAUCAGCCCGAACUGGGCAGUUUUCGCCCAGAGGGACCGGUCUCUCCCCAGCAGGGACCGGUCUCUCGCUGCGAACCCGAAAAACCAAUGUUCGGGAACCGGUCUCUCCCUGCGCGGGACCGGUCUCUCCCCGCGCAGACGCGCUCGGGGACCGGUCUCGACUGCCAGGGACCGGUUGCCUCGCCAGUUGCGCAGCACUGUGCUGAGGGGACCGGUCUCUCAUAUCAGGGACCGGUCCCCGAGAGUGAAAACUCUCAGGACUAGCCAAAACUUUAGAGAUCGAACUUUUAGGCCGGUAUACCAUCGACGGCCCUCCACCAAGUGUGGAAAAGUUCGGAAUACAUAUCGAACACUCGAACUUCGCAAUUUACAAAGAUCUAGUGUGCUACAGAGAUACACGGGCAUUACGAUCAACUAUAAGAUCAAACAUUAACCUAGAAGCAAAAGGGGCCAAAACUCACCUCAAAAGAAGAAAUCUCUUCCAAAGCUCCAAAAGAGAGCUUGAACCCUUCCAAUCCAAGCCCAAGGAAGGUUCUAAACCAAAGAAUCUAGCUCCAAAAGCCCUAAAUUCGAAACGCCCAAAAUAAACCCUAAGUUCUCAUUCUAGGGUUCCAUCUACUAUAAAGCAUCAAAACCAAAAUCUACAGGGAGAGAAUAAGCCACCAACCUCUUAGAAGCUUCAAUCUAAGCUCAAGGUUCUCAAACUUCAAGGAUCCACCCUCACCAAGCCUCAAGUCCAAGCUCCAAGGGUGAAGAAGCCUCAAAAGAAGCAAAAGAGAGCAAAAAAGGGGGUUUAAUCUCUUAAAAACCCAACCAAAAUCAAAGAAAUGGAGAGGGAGGGUGUGAAGGCUCCCUUACCUCUUCUCCCUGCAGGUGCCAAGCUCAGGGGAGCUCUAGGGGCGUGGGUGAUACAAAUAGAGAUGCCACAAUCGCGAAAAACCCCCUGCAGUUCAAACUGCUCAAAACUAUCUCUGCGUACCGGUACACGGGCCCACGUACCGGUACACCUCCCACGAAACUGCCAAACCCGAGCCUCGGGUUGGCUGAGAAGCAGCCAAUGUUGAUGGCUAUACCGGUAUAGCCAUCACCCCGUACCGGUACACAGCCCUCUGAAGGCUACCCGAGAGCUAACCAAAAAUUCGAUUUUUCGGGUUUUGGUGCUAGACUUUAAACCUCAAUUCUCGGGACUCGAACCACGGGUCGGAACACUGUCUACGACCCUCCACAAAGUGUGGAAAAGCUCGGAACACAACCAAUCACUCGAACCUCGCAAUUUGCAAUGGUCCAGUGUGUUACAUUCACCCCUCCUAAAAAGGAGUUUCGUCCGCGAAACUCGAAAUGACAAGUACCUCAAGCCUCCAUCUGAAAAAGAUGGGGAUAGGGCUCCCUCAGUGCGCUCUCCAGCUCCCAAGUGGCCUCGCGCUCGUCGUGGUUGCUCAAAAGCACCUUCACGUAAGAAAUUUUUCGGUUCCGUAAUCUUUUCACCUCGCGAGCCAAAAUCCUCAAAGGUUGCUCCUCAAAGCUUAAGUCCUCUCUCAGCUCCAAAGGCGUAGCGUCCACAACAUGAGCUGGGUCGUGGAUGUACCUCCGAAAGACCGAUACAUGGAAUACAUUGUGUGCACCGAUAGGUUCAGCGGUAGAGCAAGUCUAUAUGCUACCGGGCCUACACGCUCCAAAACCUCAUAUGGUCCAAUGUAUCGGGGGCUCAACUUACCCCGGAUUCCAAAUCUUCUAAUCCCUCGAGUCGACGAGACUUUUAAGAAGACAUGGUCUCCAAUCUGAAACUCCAAGUCUCGUCGCCGCUUGUCAGCAUAACUCUUUUGCCUACUCUGGGCCGUCAACAGUCGCUAAGCUCCGUGAGAUACCUGCCUUCACAUCUAGCGGUGAAGUAACCUCACUUCAACCGCUCUCUAACCGAAAUCCGGGACUACACGAGGUCCUUCGUCUCCUGUUCCAAGCGUAACGAAACUNGCAAUGCGAACCUUGUCCUCUGCUUCCUGGAGCACAUCAGGGCCUAAAGCCAAUCUCUCGCCAACUUCACUCCAAUGAAGUGGCGAUCUACACUUCCGUCCAUAGAGUGCCUCGAACGGUGCCAUCUUGAUGCUUGCUUGAUAACUGUUGUUAUAAGCAAACUCUGCCAUCGGUAGAUGCUGCGACCAUCCUCCCUAGAAGUGAAUCACACAAGCUCGAAGCAUAUCCUCGAGAGUCUGUAUCGUACGCUCCGACUGCCCGUCACUCAGGGGGUGGAAAGCAGUACUGAAGUCCAAGCGCGUACCCAGAGCAUCCUGUAAGCUCCUCCAAAAGUGGGAUACAAAACGGGGGUCUCGAUCCGAUACUAUAGAAGUAGGCACCCCGUGCAAUCGCACAAUCUCUCCAAAUAAACCUGUGCGAGUCUCUCACCAGUCCAAGUAGUGUGGACAGGUAUGAAAUGUCCUGAUUUCGUCAAUCUAUCCACAAUCACCCAAAUAGCGUCAUGCCCGGCCUGCGAGCGGGGCAAUCCCAUCACAAAGUCCAUAGUGAUCUUCUCCCAUUUCUAUACGGGUAUCGGUAAACUCUGCAGCUUUCCCAUAGGAACUCGGUGCUCAGCUUUCACCUGUUGGCAAGUUAAGCAUCUAGCAACAAACUCACCAACAUCCUUUUUCACCCCGGGCCACCAAUAAAGCAACUUCAAGUCCUUGUACAUCUUGGUGCCUCCCGGAUGUAUAGCAUACGGUGCUCGGUGUGCUUCAUGAAGAAUAUCCUCUUUAAUGCCCAAGUACGCCGGUACACAAAGUCGUCAGCGAAAACGCAUAAAUCCCACACCGUCUAAAGUGAAGUCACCGGUGCAACCAUCAACCAUCUUAGCUUGAAUCUUUUGCAACUCUACAUCGUGAGUUUGCUUUUCCCUGAUCCUCUCCAAAAGAGUAGGUUGCACCGCCAAAGUCAUCAGCCUCAAAGGUGUAUCAGGAGCCACCACCUCCAACUCCAACCGCUUCAUCUGCUCGAUCAACGGCGGUUGAGUAACCACAAGCAUCGCUAAGUUUUCCGUCGAUUUCCUACUUAGCGCAUCAGCCACCACGUUAGCCUUGCCUGGGUGGUAGAGUAUCGUCAAAUCAUAAUCCUUGAGUAGCUCCAACCAUCUGCGCUGCCUCAAGUUCAACUCCUUCUGAGUGAAUAGAUAUUUUAAGCUCUUGUGAUCCGUAUAUACUUCGCAUCGCUCGCCGUAUAAGUAGUGGCGCCAUAGCUUCAAUGCAAAGACCACGGCUGCCAACUCUAAGUCGUGAGUAGGGUAAUUCCUUUCAUAAUCCUUCAAUUGGCGAGAUGCAUACGCGAUCACUUUUCCGUCCUGCAUCAAAACAUAGCCCAAUCCGUUAAAGGAAGCAUCACUAUAAAUCACAUACCCUGCUCUAGCUGUCGGCAAGGUAAGGAUCGGGGCGGUCGUUAAUCUCUGUUUCAACUCCUGGAAGCUCCUUUCACACGCAUCAUUCCAAAUGAACUUGGUGCCUUUAUGCGUGAGCCUCGUGAGGGGGGUAGACAACUUUGCAAAUCCCUCGACAAACCGCCGGUAGUAGCCGGCCAAACCAAUGAAGCUUCGUAUCUCAGUCACGCUCGUCGGCCUCGGCCAAUCCUUGAUAGCUUCAAUUUUCCUAGGAUCCACAGCUAUCCUGAUCCUGAAAUCAAAUGGCCCAAGAAUGCCACCUCUCUAAGCCAAAACUCACACUUUUUCAACUUGGCAUAAAGCUUCUUUUUCCGAAGCACUUGAAAUACUAGUCUCAAGUGUUCCUCGUGAUCCGCAUCACUUCGGGAAUAGACCAAAAUGUCGUCGAUGAACACCACGACGAACCUGUCUAAAUAAGGCUUGAAAACACGGUUCAUUAAAUCCAUAAAAGUUGCCGGGGCAUUAGUAAGCCCAACGGCAUAACGGUAAACUCAUAAUGUCCAUACCGUGUUCUAAAAGCCGUCUUCGAUACAUCCUCAGGUCUGAUCCUCAACUGGUGGUAUCCCGACUGCAAGUCGAUCUUGGAAUACACACAAGAUCCCUGGAGCUGAUGAAAUAGAUCAUCAAUCCUCGGUAAUGGAUACUUGUUCUUGAUCAUGACUUUGUUAAGUUCACGAUAGUCCACGCACAAACGAAGUGAUCCAUCAUUCUUCUUCACAAAUAGGACCGGUGCUCCCCAAGGUGACACACUUGGUCGCACAAAACCCUUGUCUAGAAGAUCCUGUAACUGUGCCUUCAGCUCUCUCAAUUCUGCUGGUGCCAUCCUAUAGGGUGCCUUUGAGAUUGGAGUAGUCCCGGGAACGAGAUCUACCACAAACUCAAUCUCCCUGUCAGGUGGCAUGCCUGAAAGCUCCGCUGGAAACACAUCUCCAAACUCCCGCAUUACGGGGAUAUCCUCAAUCCUAGGGGCGUCAUCCUCACCUCGCAACACAACAGUAGCCAAGUAGGCUACACAGCCUCUACCUAUUAACUGCCGAGCUCGAGAAGAGCUAAUCGUCAUCGCAAAAAGUGAACUCUGGCAUCCUCGGUACACAACCUCCGCCUGCCCCGGCUCUCUAAACGUCACCGUUCGAUCCUUGCAAUCGAUGGUGGCAAAGUACUUGGUCAACCAAUCCAUGCCCAACACAACAUCAAACUCCCCGAGUUUAUGCAAAGCUAGCAAGUCCGCGGGCAUGAUCCAAUCUCCAACCCGAACAGGGCAACUGGGGCAAAACUCCCGAAUGUCCAAAGAAUGAUCGGGUACAACAACUCGUCCCGGAUGCAACAAGGAUACAAGUGGGAUGCCAUGCAACUCGGCAAACAGUCGGUUUAUGAAUGAAUGCGAUGCACCGGUAUCAAACAAUGCUCUAACUCGAAUACCAUAAAGUAAAAUAAUACCUGCGACCACAUUCUCGGCUGCCGCCGCCUCCUCAGUCUGGGCCGCAUACAUGCGGCCGCUCGGGGCCUGUCGUGACCCCUCCGCCUGUCGCUGAACAGGUGGCCGUCCGACCUGGUGAUGCGCGGAAGAUGUCCCCUGGCUGGGACCUGGCGAUGCUGGUGCAGAUGCCGAAGAUGGCGCUGGCAAUGGACUCCUCGGACAGUCCGACUGGAAGUGGCCCUCCUGGCCACACAGGAAGCACCUGCCCCGGCUGCGUGAACACUAUCGCCGGUAGUGGGGACCACCACAGAUCACGCAGCGGGGAGCCUGGCGACGAUCGGGUCCUCCUCGCUGAGUAGACGAGCCACGUCCUCGCGACUGGCUCCGGCUCCUGGGGUGCCUCAGCGGCCUCCGUGAGUGCGUCUGACUCGCACCCUCAGCUAGAGGCCUCUUGCCCUUCCCUUUCUCCGAGCUCUCGCGACGCUCCUGCAGAUCCACCGCUCCUGCCUCCACUAUCAACGCUCGAUCCACAACCUCCCGAUAGGUCUGGAGGUUGGAAGACUACACCAACCGGAAGAUAGAAGGCCGCAAACCGCGCUAAAAAAUACGGGCCUUGUCCUCGUCAUCCCUCACAACAAACGGUACACAGUGAAGUAGCCGGGAGAACUCCCUCUCGUACUCGGCCACUGUUCGCUCGUCCUGGCGCAAGCUGCGCAAAUCCUGCUCCAUCUUCCUCUUGACGCUGGUCGGAAAGUAAUGCGCUAGAAGAAGCUCCUUGAACCUCGUCCAAGUAAUCGCUGCCAAGUCGGUGUUGGGGUUGUCCUGAAUAUCCAACCACCAACGGUAGGCCUCGCCGUCAAGAAAGUGAGUGGCAAGCCAAACUCUGUCCCGCUCCUCCACAAAGGUGUCUCGAAAAAGCUUCUCCAUGUGCAUCAACUACUUCUCAACAAUCCAGUGGUCGACGUUCUCGCCAUCAAACGUCCUUGGGCUGCACCUCCUGAACUCACUGAGGCGAUCCAUGAGUCGAUCCCGCUCGGCUCCCUCGGCCCUCACGAGGAAAGCCGCCCCCGUGGCCGGUCUCUGAACUGGGUGUGCCGCAGCCACCUCCUCCCGAGGUGUGGUUGCCGGUGCCGCACGGGAAGAACUGGGCGCGGGGGACUGCGCUCUCGGUGCGAUGUCCACCAUGGGUGCUGGCGGUGUGGGAACCUGGGUCUCCCUCGAAGCUGCCGCCUGCUGGAGUAGGAGGUCCUCAAGUUGCUUCAUCCGCGCCUCCUGUCGCUGAGCCACCUCAGCCUGUCACUGCGCCACUGCCGUCUGCUGCGCCAACAGAUCAGUGAGAACUGCAAGCUGGGUCCUCAAGUCACGGACCUCACUAGAUCCGGAAGUAGCGGAGGUCUCGACCUCCUUAGGGUGUGCUGCAUCAUCCGCCCCGGCAGACUGGGAGCGUGUAACCGGCAUCGUCACUACAAAACAUAAAAGCGCAAGUUAGUAACCCACGCUAUCGCAUCCCCGCUCAAAUAAGUAAGUACUCAAAUCAUGCGAAAGUAAGAAAGUGUCCUUCACUACUAACUCCCGAUGUUACGUUGUCUGCCGCCAACGUAACCCUCCGCGAAGUUAGAAGUCAUACACUCCGAUCGAACUCUAACUUUUUAGAGUUAUCUUCAAACCCAAUCGAAAUACUUUCGCUAACAAUUCAAUUGGACCUCGUCUCUCGCGAGCCUAUUUUCUAUAAUCCAACUGGCCUAAGGUUUGCAAGGUCCUUUAAGACUCAACCCUAGGCUCUGAUACCAAAUUAAUCUGUCACGCCCCGGGAUCGGCAGAGGCCCUCUCGGGAGCGCGCCCAGACCCGCCAUAUGUCUACACAUACAAGGCGUCUACAAUAAAAACGAAAGUAAAAGCAAGAAAUAAUCUACAACUAGAGAUAUCAGAGCAAAUAUAAUUUUAUCAUCUAUAAGGAGAGAGUACAAAGAUCACAACUAAACCAUAGAAGUAAAAUAUAAAGUAAUACAAUAUCUGUCCAAAAGUACACAAAUGGGGUGGUCUCUAGUACACUGGUACAGCUCUCAACCUCUCCAAAAUAAAAACAUCGAGAGGUAGACCACCUAGCGACUCGUCACUCGCUGAAGAGCUAGCUCGAAGCCACGCCCUUCCCUCGGUCCCUAGCCUCUUCCGGCGUGGAAGGCUCUGAAAGAAAACAUAAAACAGAGGGCGUGAGAACUAUAAUUUAUAGUUCCCAGUGGGCAAUUACUGACCUCAGCUCAAUGCACCACUAGGUCCCAAAAGAAAAGAGUAAGUAACGACAAUAAUAAUAAGCAAUAAAGAGCGAGUAUAAGAACUGCUGAAAGAAAGCAUAAAUAAAAUGCUAUACUACUAUGUCUCAAGUAAGCAUGAUGUCAUGGGGAUGUACAUCUACGCUAUCAUAAGAUAAUAUGUCCAAUGCAUAAGGAGUAAGCUCUAUCAAAGCAACCCAGUAUACUAUGAUGUAAUGAAUGAAACAGGCAAGUAUACUAUAUAUAUCCCAAUGCUAUGUCAUGAGCAUGUUAAGUAAUCCAACUACUAAGCCUAUCUAGUAGUGAUUAUACAUUCUCAACACUGUGUCGAUUUCCAUUUCCAAUUAAAGACCUACCAAAGGUAGUCGAGCUUGUGCCGCCUAAGUGCCUGUGGUAGCCGAACAUCCCCACUCUUGGAAUGUGUCUGUCCCACUCGACCCCGUAGGCUUCUCAAUACCGCACGAGCGAACAUAAGUCGCGUAGGCUAACUCCGGAGUGCCGGCUUGUAGGGAGCGACCCUCAUAAGCAUGUGCGAAUGAGCACAAAUGGCAAACAAGCAUAGUCAACGUCUCAAGUAUCCAAUCCUCAUGUCUCUAACAUGGUAUCGUCACUAGCAUCCCGAAAAUCUAGUUUAAGUCACAAGGUGAAGUUCUAACAUUCACUACGCCUAGUGCCCCUUGAUGACACUUAGACAAUUUAAUGUUCAACAUAAUCCAAAUCCCUCAAUGGCCCUAACCACUAGGUUCACACAUAUCCCGAGCUCAAUGCCGCUUGAUGACAUUAGCUCUCUAAUUCACAUACAUUCUAGUUCGAUGCCUCUAUAUGGCAAUUUUGUCAUCUUUCAUGUCUCAAAUAAACCUAGGUUUAAAUACAUGAAUCAAAGCUUAUUUUCAUUAUAAGGAACAUGGCCCAACAUGAGAAUGCUAAACAAUCAACCAUAAGCUUCAUAUGCGACUCUCUAUUACAUAGAAGUCCAAAAUUGCACUAUAUGUAACAUAGGCAUUUUAAGCAUUCUAAAAUUCACAAUAAAUACAUAUAACAAGAAUAUGCCAUUGCUUUUUCAUUUACAAUACUUUAAAUCAUCACACAAUGAGGUUUUUUCAUUGUGUGGCUAGGUCAAACCCACCGAACCGUCGCGUAGUGCCUUGUUUCGCCGAACGAAGUUGUCCAUGAGUCUCAAAAUAUCCUAAAAGUACUGAGCGAAAAGAUACACGGGCAUUACGAUCAACUAUAAGAUCAAACAUUAACCUAGAAGCAAAAGGGGCCAAAACUCACCUCAAGAGAAGAAAUCUCUUCCAAAGCUCCAAAAGAGAGCUAGAACCCUUCCAAUCCAAGCCCAAGGAAGGUUCUAAACCAAAGAAUCUAGCUCCAAAAGCCCUAGAUUCGAAACGCCCAAAAUAAACCCUAAGUUCUCAUUUUAGGGUUCCAUCUACUAUAAAGCAUCAAAACCAAAAUCUAGAGGGAGAGAAUAAGCUACCAACCUCUUAGAAGCUUCAAUCCAAGCUCAAGGUUCUCAAACUUCAAGGAUCCACCCUCACCAAGCCUCAAGUCCAAGCUCCAAGGGUGAAGAAGCCUCCAAAGAAGCAAAAGAGAGCAAAAGAGGGGGUUUAAUCUCUUAAAAACCCAACCAAAAUCAAAGAAAUGGAGAGGGAGGGUGUGAAGGCUCCCUUACCUCUUCUCCCUACAGGUGCCAAGCUCAGGGGAGCUCUAGGGGCGUGGGUGAUACAAAUAGAGAUGCCACAAUCGCGAAAAACCCCCUGCAGUUCAAACUGCUCAAAACUGUCUCUGCGUACCGGUACACGGGCCCACGUACCGGUACACCUCCCACAAAACUGCCAAACCCGAGCCUCGGGUUGGCUGAGAAGCAGCCAAUGUUGAUGGCUGUACCGGUACAGCCAUCACCCCGUACCGGUACACAGCCCUCUGAAGGCUACCCGAGAGCUAACCAAAAAUUCGAUUUUUCGGGUUUUGGUGCUAGGCUUUAAACCUCAAUUCUCGGGACUCGAACCACAGGUCGGAACACUGUCUACGACCCUCCACAAAGUGUGAAAAAGCUUGGAACACAACCAAUCACUCAAACCUCGCAAUUUGCAAUGGUCCAGUGUGUUACACCGAAGAUGUCUAACUCACCAAAAGUGCGUUCGAGUUGGAGUCCACGAGAGCAAAUAGUGUAAAGUCUGCACUUAGCGGAGUUGCUCUCGGGGACCGGUCCCUGGCAGAGAGGGACAAGUCCCCGUAGCCAAUGGUUGCGGGGUUGCUUCAUGCAACCAGUCCCUGGAUCUGAGGGACCGGUCCCCCCGUGUGCGAAAUCGGCGAGAAGCAAAAAAUUGACUGAGUCCCGAAAAUGCCCCUCUCGGGAACCGGUCUCUCAGCAGGAACCGGUCUCCCGAGGACCGAUCUCUCGGGCAAGGACCGGUCCCCGUAGCUCGAAAUUGCCCAGUUUGGGGCAAUGCACAUUCUUGAGUUCAAUCGCAAUCCCGAACCUCGGAGGUGCCUUUGUUGACUUCCUUGAGAUGCGGGAUUGUGGGAGUUCUCACCGAGCACGGUAGUGUGCGUUGCGUGGUGAGAUAGGCGUUCGUGCAGUUGAUUGCAGGGUCGUGUUGUAGGCGGUAGCCUCUUCCUCUCCGAGAUAGUUUGUGGAUGUGAAGUCUACAGAGUGGUCUAGAGAACGAGUGGUAAGGAAGCGACAAUGAAGGGUUCGCGGUGGGCACUGAGUGACCGUGAUUACGCGGCCCUAGUCGGGGGACCUUGCAUGCAAUUAUCAUGUAGUCGCUUACUACCGUUGGUACAUCAACGUAGCAAGAACCAAAGAGACGGGCAAGUGUAAAUACCCGAGCAUGCUUGCACGUGAGGGUGUAACGCUUGCUGGAGUAGAUGGAGGGCUAGACGGUACUAGCAAAUUACUAGUAGUGGAUUCUAGACAGGAAGUGAGACUCGUGGGAAAGACAAAACGGUGAAGCGACUCUCAAGACAACAGGUAGUUGGUUGCGAGAGUUGAGCCGUGAUACUUGUGCAUAACCGAGCAAUUCGAGUGUCUCGGAUGUAGUUCCGAUAGUUUGAACAGUGAAAGUAGGAUCACUGCUGAGAGAGUGGUUGGUUGAUUAUCGAGUUACGGCCUCGAAUUGAGAUGGCUGAGUCAUGCUUGUGUGGCCAUGUGCUAGGGCAGAAGUGCCUAAGGCUCGAAUUUAGAGUAGAGCGCUAGAGAGGCAUACGACGUGCGAGUGAAGAUACUCAUAGAGUACGGAUUUGCUUCAGCGAGAGAGUGUGUUGGCUGUAGCACUUUAGCGUUGCUAAGUGUGAAGCGGGCCAUGGAACACUCGUAGGGCUGGUGGCUCACACUAGGUGCUUAGGCACUUAGGAGCCGGUAAUGGUACGUGUAACUCAUGGAGUAUGUCGUGUAAGACGACAACGGCGGGUAGUGCUUGAAGACGACCCGUAUCUAGACCAAUUGUGGACUGUGAAGCCUGGGCCCUUUAGGUAGGCGCAGUCAGCUGCAAGUGACAGCGGCCUGAUACCUAUGGGUAGGGCAUAGUUUGGUCAGGUUGGUAGUCCGAGCUUAGACCCGGGAGCGUGAAAUGCCACGUAUUUGAUCAUAAGAUCGAGGAUACACCGAGUGUGUAGUGACCCAACCCGAGGACUUGAUUGAGUUUGGGGUCAUAAUUACCCCUGGUUCAAGUGUGUGCGAAUUCCUAAGUGAGAAUUUCGUCCGGUUAUAAUUGGGUCUGCGCUUGCGAGCGAGAGACAGUACGAGUAUCGAGACAGGAUAGGCGGUAGACCUACGUAAGAUUGGUGGCCUGUAGUCCACCUGUGGAAACCGAGAUAAGCGAUUUAGUCGACAACUCUAUUGAGAGGUUUGGCCGGGAUUUGCGAACGGGUGCUUAGGUAAAUUCGUUGUGAGAGCAAGCUUGACGUUGGCCAUGGCAAAUGGGAUUAGAAGUAAAGUGAUCUCUAGGAGACGCUUAGAUGGUGGAUAGCCACGUGAGGAUUGAAGUUGAUGCUCUCCAAUGGAUUGGAGCCUGCGGAUAAUGCUCAUUCAAGGAUUGAGAUUCGAGAUGUGCUAGAGUGGGCUAUCUCGUGAUGGAGCAAGGAUCUAGUCGAGGAUUGAAGCACUCGCGAUUGGUCGACGCACCAAUGAUAUUGCUUUUAGGCAAUGCCGGUGAUCGGAUUGGAGUGUAAUCCUUAGAUUCUAUAGCGAGUGGUGUUGGAGCACUAGGGGUCGUCAUAUAUCGACUUGCGCUGCCGCCAUGGCUUGCGAAGGUAGUAAUGCACUUUUGGAGUUGCGUUUAGCCAAUGUGAGUGAAGUUGGCCUCACAUCCUCCUUAGCGAACCUUUAAAUAGUUCCAAUGAGUGAAAGACCACUCCGAGAUGCGAAAGUGCAUUGCAACCCCCGAUUACUCGAUGAGUAAAUGGAGGUGUGAAUUGGAGUUCGGGUUGUUUGAGUUUCAAGGACGAAACUCUUAUUAAGGAGGGGAGGAUGUAAGGUACCGGACUUCUAAAAUCAUGAGGUUACGGUGUACAUUUGGUUGGAAAGCCAUUUGAAUGGUUCCGAUGAAGUUCGGUGAAGCUCGGAAGCAUUCGAGCGUUUCGGUGCGCGUAGGCGUGUAAACGGGACCCGAAAGGAUACGUUGUGCCGCAAACUAAAUCCGGCAUUUGCAGGGAUGAAAACAUGAUGUAAAUACGCUCGAAAUCAUGUUUUGAGAGUCUCGGUUCGAUUUGAGACGAAUCGGAAGUCAAACGGGUGAAAACGGAGCGAAACGGAGCAAAAUGGGCAAAAGCUGAAAAUUGCAGUUUUCUGGUCCAUUGGGGACCGGUCCCUGCAUGGGAGGACCGGUCCCCGAACCCGAAAAUGCCCAUUUUGGGCUGUUUGAGAGGCUAAGAGUUGAGGGGGCUUAUUGCACUUGUUACAUGAGUUGGAGACAAAGAGAGGGGAUGGCCCUCUCUCUUUCUCAUUCUCCCUCAACCGUGGCCCUCCCUCUCUCUCUAAAACUCUCUCUUUCUCUCUCUAAGAAGUGGAGCAAGAAGGUGGAGAUAGAGGAGAAAGCUUGAAGAAGUGGGCUUCAUCUUCUUCUUCUUCCUCUUUAGGCCAUUGGAGCAAGCUCUAAGGUAAGCUUUUGAUGCUCAACAAUGGUAGCUUUCUAUAGUUCGGGUUUUGAACUCUAAGAAUGGGUUUAGAGAUAUUCUAGCAUGCUAAUUAGAGGUUUGAUGCUUGAAUUCUAAGCUUUAAUGGUGGAUUUAGCCUAGUUGUAAACCUAGGGCUUAAAAUGGGUCUUCAUUCAUAGAUCAUGGGUUUUGAUCUCUAGAAAUGGUAUGUUUGGAAUCCUAGGAUGCUAAUGAGAUAAUUAUUACCUAAAUCUUGGAUGAAUUUGGAGUAUUUAGUGGUAAUGGCAUCUAGGGCUUCAAAAAUGGGGGUUUUGUAAAUAGUUGGGUUUGAUCUCUUUUAACCCUCUGUAAACCUAAUUGAUAGGUCACUGAACGCGUGGCAAGCGACGGUUCGUCGAUUCGUCGAGCGGGUGCGACGUUCCGGCUGAAACAAGUGUUCGUGGGUUCGUAUUGACCCGAGGAGCCGAGGCGGCUUCCAUAAAUCGUGGGAUCGCAUCCCGAGCAUCAUAACGAAGAACCGAAGACCUUUAAUUUACGGAUCGCAAAUCGGUGGUCAUUUGACGGUCGCGUGUA
rnacentral:lncRNA from 1 species